GAUCAGCCAACAAAUAUGGAGGGGCCUCGUCUAAGAGAGUGCAGCGCCGCCUACGCCUCCCAUGCUUCUCCGCCACUUCACUCGCUUAAGCCCUCUCGCAGAACGGGCUCAAACCGUUUGUUUGCGGCAGUUUACACGUGUGCCAUCAUAGCUUUGUUCUAUCGCCAUGCACAGAGACUCCUCUACUCCAAAACCCUAGUUUCUUUCUACGUAACUCUAACGUUGUUCAUCUCUGAUCUUAUCCUCGCCUUCAUGUGGGUUAACGGACAGGCUUUCGGCAUGCGUCCGGUUUACCGUAAAGAAUACCCCGAAAACAUAGAAAAGGUCAUGAAAACAAGUGAUUUGCCAGCGUUGGACAUUUUCAUUUGCACGGCGGAUCCAUACAAGGAGCCGCCAAUGAGUGUGGUGAACACAGCCCUAUCGGUAAUGGCCUAUGAUUGAUUAUCCAACGGAGAAGAUUUCGGUCUACGUGUCGGACGAUGGAGGAUCGGCUUUGACUCUCUUUGCUUUCAUGGAAGCUACUAAGUUUGCUGCCCACUGGUUACCUUCCUGUAGGAAGAACGAUAUAGCGGAGAGGAGCCCGGAUGAAUAUUUUGCAUCUAAUCAUUCAAGGAGCUCUUAAACUGGGAAGAUUAAGGUAAACCCUUUCUUAAACCAUCUAACUAAUUAAUUAGCUAAUAGCUAUUGCAAUAUUUACAAUAUUUAUUUAUUAGUGAUUUUUAUUGCAAUUAAAAGUUAAAGUUAUAGAAAUCACCAUGAAGAAAUGAGCCGUUUUCAUGAUAAUUUCAUGCGCAAAGUAUGCAAACAUUUUUUACUGAGCUAACUGAAAAUUAAAUACAAUUUCUCAAAAUUAAGUUUCUUAUCCGUUAUCCAUAUAGCUGUGACAUUAUAUAUAUUAGAUCUUAUAAUUCAUAAAUUUGUAUCAUGUUUACUUAUGUUAAAAAUAAAUAAAAUAUAAAAAUUAUUGUGUUAUAAUUCAUUUUCUAAGAACAAGAUAUAUUUUUUAUUUUUUUAAAAAUUCAUAUAAAUUUUUAUUUUAAAACUUCAAUCUAUAUCAUUUUAAUAUUAUGUAUGUAGUAUUUAAAAUUAUCCAAUUUGAUAUAUCUUAUUAAAAAGUAUUACUAUAUAUAUCAAAAGUUUCUCUCUAAAAUGAUUGAAGGAUAAUUUUUAUCAUUUUGUCAAGUUUCCUAUCUAAUUUUUUUUUUCAAAAAAUUUUUCUUUAUGGCUAGCUGUCCAAUAAACUUUAAUUUAAAUUUAAAUUUAAUUUCCAUUCAGUUCAUUUUCAAAAAAGAUUGAUCUCUGGAUAUACAACCAUGACCAAUGAGUCAUGUUUUCACAAGAAAUACCACUGGUGCAAAAAAUUAGAAAAUAAAGCAUAUAGUUAAACCAGCGGUAUCGAUCGGUUGGGGUUAAUUACAAUCAAGCUAUCAGGUUCUUGAAGUCUAAGCAAUAUUUGAUAUGAUAAGUGUCAUAACGUAUAGAUUCAAAAAUUUAUAGUGAGACUUAACAAGAAGAGUCGCCAUCAAUCUUUGUUAAUUAGGUGUGAUUGGUCACUUAAUGAAUUUAUCUUUUUAAGGAGUUCUACAUUUGACUAAGGGUUCUUAUAGAAUAGGUUUGGGUCUACUAACCAGAACAAGAUUCGAGAAUUCGGUUAUAUAUGGAGAAGGUUAUAGCAUCCUCACAUAUCCAUCUGAAGGAUGGUAUAUUUUAUUUUAAAUUUAUCAUAAAGUCUUGAUUCUAAUGAUUUUAAAUUUUAAUAUUGAAUAUUAAAAAUAACUUUUAAGAUUCUCCAUCAAUCUGGUAGAAUUUUUAAAAAUAUUUUCUCACCUCAAGAAUAUUCAAAAAUCUCAUUUGUUUUCUUGAGGCUCUGUCGUCGAAAAAAAAAAUUAAUUAUUUUUUAUUUUUAUCGAAAAUAUAUCUAAUUAUUUCAUCAUUUGGACCAAAUUAGAAAUAUCUUCUUUUUUAAUUUCUAAAUUUUUCACCAUUUUGGUCUAUUUAGAAAUUUUUUUAAUUUUUUGAAAGAAAAUAAUAUUAUAAUUAUUUUUAUUGAAAUUUCAUUUAAAUUCUUCCACCCAUUUGAGAUAAACUUAAAGAAAUUUCUUACUUAGAGAUUUUUAAAAAAAUUUACCAUUUGAAAUUUCUCAAAAUCUCAUAAUUGGAUAAUUAUCAAAUAUUUUCAACCAAAAAUUUUUAUUUUAACUUAUUAUUAUUAUUUUUCUUUUUUGUUUGAAAAUAAAUAUUAAUUAUUGUUAUUAAAAUUUUAUUUAAAUUAUUCCAUCAUUUGGGAUAAAUUUAGAAAAAAUUUAUCACUUAAAAAAUUUAUAAAGAUUUACCAUUUAAAAUUCCUAAAAAUUUCAUCAUUGGAUAAUUAGUAUUUGUUCUCCAAAAAAAUUUUUUUUUUAAAUUUAAUCAUACAAAAAUACUUAAAAAUUAAAAAAUUAAAAAAAAUACCAAAAUAGAAAAACAACUCGACUCGACUAGAGAACUUGGCUUGGUUGCAAGUAAAAACGGUGGCUCUAGAUACGUGACCUGACAACUCGGCUCACGACUCAGCUCGAAUGAAGUCAAAAACCGAAGGUGAGUUAACCGCAGGUCAAAAGUGGGUUAGUGUUACAAGUCGGGUCACCCAAAUAGAAACACGCAGAUCUUGAGGCCUUUUAAAUGGUAAAACGAUGUCAUUUCAUAACAGUAUAAAAGGUACAAGUUUUUGCUUCUUUUUUUUUUCAGAUUUUUUUCCCCUCUCUCUCUCAUUUUUUUUUAUUUUCUCUUUCUCUCUCUAUAAACCAAAAGAACUUCGGUUGAAUCUUCACCGAAUUUUAAAAAAUUUCAUCGAAAUUUGGGUUGGUUCGUUGAAAGUUUGUUAAAAACUUCAACCUUCGUAGAAAUCUUUAACCAGAUUUUGAAAAACUACUAAAAAAUUCAACCGACAUAAAAAAACUCACCAGAAAAUUCAAUCGACAUCUAAAAAUUCAUCGAAAACUGAAAAAUUUCUAGAAAAUUUUUCAAAAAAAAUCUUUUUUAACCAAAAAAUUUCUCAAAAUUUUUUGACUGCCUUCUAGCUUCCUUUUGUGUGAUUUUUUUUUAUGUUUUUCUGAUUUGUGUUUCUGUAUUCCUCUAUGUUUUUUGUCUAUUCUAUUCCAUUGGAUUCAAUCCUGUAUUUAUAAGGUAUAAUCAGAAGAGUUUCUAAUUAACUAUGAAUCCAUUGUUGAUAAGGUUUCAAUAUUAUCAUAAACAUAAGCUUUAUCCUAUAUAGAUUGAAUCCACCCAUAACUCUACCAGCCCCAACUCACAGCUAAAAUCCUCAUUAUUUUUAUUUUUUAUUUUUUUUUACUACUAUCUUAUUAUCUUAACACCAGGAAAAUUGAAAAUAACUUAGAUAAGAAAAAUCAACAAAAAAUCAAAGACAAAAAUAAAAAACAAAUAAUAAUCAACCAAAAAGAUAAACCCAAAAAUAAAUAAGUAAAUAGAUAAAUAAUAAAUAAAUAAAUAAAACGUACAAUAACUAGUGGACUUGGAAAUCGGACCCUAUUGAACCAGGCCCAAUAGUUUUGGGCUUGAACUAUUAUAGUGUCUAUAGCUAUCCCUCUUUGCAAAGUUUCUGUGUCACAAAAAUUGUGCAAAGACGUAGACAUCCAUCAUAUCCAGAUAAUCAUCCCAACACAUUUUUUUUAAGUUAGACACUUAAACUUAUUGAAUAAUAUGAACUCUUCUAAGCAAGGCUCAUAACUUUUAGAAAAUAAACAAGGUUCCUCUAAAUAGAGGCUUAACGAUUUUGAAAAAUAAAUAAAGCUCAUCUUAUCAGAGGCUCAACUACUUUGAAAAAAUAAAUAAGACUCCUCUAAACAGAGGCUCAACGAUUUUGAAAAAUAAAUAAAGCUUACUUAUUAGAGGCUCAACCACUUUGAAAAAAAUAAAUAAGGCUCCUCUAAAUAGAGGUUCAAUGACUUUUAAAAAAUAAAUAAUGCUCCUCUAAACAGAGGCUCAACGACUUUGAAAAACAAAUGAAGUUCAUCUAAUUAGAAGCUCAAUGAUUUUGAAAAAUAAAUAAAAAACCUCUAAGUAGAGGCUUAACGACUUUGAAAAAUAAAAAAAACUCCUCUAAUCAGAAGUUCAACGACUUUGAAAAAGUAAAUAAAGCUCAUCUAAUCAGAGGCUCAACAACUUUGAAAAAUAAAUAAAGCUUAUCGACAAUCUUUUUCAAAGGAGUUAUAGAUUGUGUCUAAAAAAAUUUUAGGGGAUUAUGCUUGAAGGUCUGACAAAUUAUUCAUAAUACCCUUUUUCAAGGAUCGAAUCUUACCUCAGAAGUCUUUUUUUUUCUUCAAUUGAAAAUUAAAAAUUCUUUCAUUAGAAAGUUUUCAUAUUUAUCUUCUCUUUAGGGAAUCUUGAAAUAUCCUUACUUCAUGCGCUGGACAUUCUCACAUGCAAUGCAUGCUAUACAUUAAACCUUCAGAAAUGCAAUGCAUGUUAUGCAAAUGUCAAUUUCUUUCAAUUGUGAUACUUCAAUUUCUUAAGCUUUUUCUUUGAAUUCUGAGCUCUUCAACCUUCGAACAAAUUGACUUGGUUUUCAAAAGAUUCACAUCCGAAAAAUCUAAAUUCAAAGGUUCUCAUUUGAAAAUUUUAGGGGUUCACAUCUAAAAUUUUGAAGCUUUUCAUUUGAAAACUUUUGGUGACUCACAUCCAAUUCUUUAAAGAUUCAAAUUCAAAAACUUUGGAGAUCUACACAAAUUCUUAAGACUCCCAUUUAAAACUUAAAGACAAAAAUUCUCAUUCAAAGAUUCUUAUUUGAAAACUCAAAGAUUCUCAUUUGAAAUUUAAAAAUUCUCAUUUGAAACUCAAAUAUUCUCAUUUGAAACUCACAAUUUUAUUUUAAGAGCAUUCAUCAAAAGAUUCAAAAUUUCUUUUUUAGAUGACUUUCAAACUUUUAUUAAAGUCAAAAUUAUGUACAUAAUGAAUGUCAUGAUUAAUGAUGCAAAUGUAACAAUCUGAAUUCUCAUAAUAAUGUAGAUGUCAUGCUCUAAGUCAUAAUUCAAAUGUUUACUAAUUGAUGCAUGUCCAAACAAAGUUUUAAAUAUUCUCCAAAUUAUGUGCAUGUAUUGUUCAAAUGACAAUGCAAACAUAAUGCAUGUAACAUAAAUGUCAUGAAAUUCUAAUUAAUUAUGGUAAUAUGGUUCUCAAGACUCAUUCAUUCCAUCUUUUCCCUUUUUAGCUGCUCAUCAUUAGCUAUCCCAAAGUAAAUUUUUUCAACUGAUCCAUAUCAUUUGCAUUAUUUGAUCGCAACUCACAGGUUACUCAGCACUAGCAAUUUCAACAUAAAUUUCAUUCACCGAUCCAUAUCAUUUUCAUCAUUUGAUCACCAUUCAUAGGCUAUUCAGCACUAGCAAUUUUAACAUAAAUUUCGUCUACUAAUCCUCAUCAUUUUCAUCAUUUGAUCAUAAACCCCAAGUUAUAUCAACCAAUCUAUCUCUAUAUUCAUCACUCGAUCACCCCAAACGUCUUUUCAAAUCAUCUUUUCAUUUUUUUACCUCCAUCAUCUAGAUUUCUUUUCAAGAAAAUAUAAGAAUCUUUUAUAAAUAUUAUCAUUCAUUCAUUAUCAUUUCAAUUCUUGACAAAUAUAACACAAUCAAACAUUUUUUUGAUAUAUUUUGAAGAUGCAAGAAUAAGAAAAUACAAGGUAAAUUGAGAGAAGAGUAAUCAAUAAGAAAUGAGUAUAGUAACAAUAAAUGGACAAAGGAACAAAUUCAAAGCAUUUCAUUAGGAUGAAUGGUAUUGAAUGGUACUAUAGUGUCCAAACAAUGAAUACUUAGACAAUUCUUAACAUUAAUCCAAAAUUCUUUUUCAAAAACUCAUUUCCUUGACUUCUAAAAUUAAUUUUGAGUGUGUUGAACUUUACCCUAGCUUUAAAGGAUCUUCAUAUAUUUUUUUAUCUUUUAUAUAUUGAACUGUCUAUCUAACUCUCAGCUCAUAAAUUUUUCUAUCCAAAUCGCACUUUCGAGUUUUCAAUUUGAGUAUUCAUUUUUUCUCUUUUUUCAUCUCAUUUUUUUCUUUGUUUCUCUUUUUUCUUUUUUGUCCAUUAUUGAUAUCUCUUACACAUCAAUCUAAAAUAGCAUGAUUCCAUUAUUUCAUCAUAAGCAUGCCUUUGCUCAAUAUAUGAUCAUUUAAUUCAAGCAUUCAUAUUUAAUCAAAAUAGACUUUUAAAAGUUGUAAUGUAGGCUAUGGUGAAGAGUUAUGAAAGAAAUUGAUAAAAUAGGCUCAAAACACAUGUUUAAAGGGUUUAAAACUAAAAGAUAAUUUCUCAUCAUGUGAUGCAAUUUAGCACUUUGCCUUAUUCCACAUCAUUUCACUAUUUUUUUCUUUUUUUAUUCACCACAUUCCUCACAAAAGGAUUCUCAUUAUUUUGCCUCAACUCAUUUGUGGCAUUUUUUCUCUUUUUUUGCUUUGUUUUGUUUUGUUUUGUUUUUUUACUUUUUAUCUUUGAGACCUUUUACGAUCUUUUAUCUUUUUUUUUUCAAAAAUUAUCCCAGUAUAGAAGGUGAUCCUUGGUUGAGAUUCUUUAAAAGAAAAAUCAUAAUAGGCUUAACAGGGAUAACAAUGGAUGGUUUUAUGGAUGGUAAAAGAAAGACAAUCAUUUUUUAUCUUAAACAUGAAUGCUUUCUUUGAAGAUCAUCUAUUAAACAUAAAUAAGCCCAUAAAUCUUUAUAAAGAUUGCAUAUCUAUUUCACAUCUAUAACAGUUGAUUUUUUUUGCUCAAAUAGUCUUCACAAAUUGAAUUUUAUCAAUGUGAAUGAGUUUUCAAAAUUAAAUCUCAAAAUUAUUGUUAUCAUUAUCUAAACAUUUAUCAUUAAAAUGGGAAUAAAAAGAUAUGAUAAAUAACAAAGCACGGAAUAGCGGUUGGGAUGAAAGAAAAAUGAAAUGAAAUGCAUUAUCCUUAUUUUUUAUUAAAAUGAUAAAAAAAAUAAAAACUUAUUGCAGAAAAGAAUUCCUAACAUUACUUUGAAAGAAAAUCCAAAAUGACAAACAACAUCCAACCUUAUUCUUGAUUUUCAGUUGAAGCAUUUGACCCUCUGAUUUGUUACGGCUUUCCAAGUUUUUUCAGAUCACACUUAUUCUUGAUUUUCAGUUGAAGCAUUAACAUUGUGAUUAGGCAAUGGAUUGCCACUGAUAUUAGGCGCUAUUAUCCUUUUUGUAUCAAAGUUUAUCAUUCCAUCCUCGAUCAAAUGUUGCACUUUAUACUUUAGAGCAAUGUAAUUUUUAAUGGAAUAAUAAGCAAUUUCAUAGUGGUAGUCACAGUGAACUAUAAGAUCAUACCACUUGGGAUAAGGUAGCUUAAACAGCUUCAAACGACUAUGGCAAUCAAGUGAUUGUUAUAGAGCUCUUAGUAUAAUUUCGUAUAAGUAAUAGAGAUUGGGUCAAAUAUGAGUUUUUUUUUGGGUAGUUCAUUGCUCUUGUGAACCACUUAUUGUGUUAGCAAAAUAAAUCUGAGAUCUUGCAAAAGGUUGAAUGUUAAAGUUGUAUAUGAGAGUUUAGGGGCUAAAGAUGGGCUAAUAUGUUUAUGGAUAAGAUGGUUGUAAAGAAUGCUGAUAUGGGUGAGGUAAGGUGUUGUUCAUAGUAAGAUACUAUAGAGAAUAAUCUUGUGGUGGAUAUGAUUGGUAUCCCCUGAACUGUCUAUCAAAGUUCACAUUUAAACUUUAGUCUCUUUCUUUUUUAGCACAUUCUUAAUUUUCCCUCAUUCUACCUUGUCAUUUUUAAUGACAUUCUCAAUGAUUUCGUUUGAUAUCAUCAUAUCGAUGAAAUUCUUUGUUACAUUUUCUAUCAUAUUUUUAUAAUAGGGUAGUUUUAAAGUGCUGACAAACAAUACUAUGAUCUUUUUUUCAGUCAGAAGAGGCUACACUUGAGUAGCUAUGUCCCUUCACCUUUGGGCAUAUUUCUUGAAUGAUUCAAUCACUUUUUUUCAUAUUUUGUAAAUAUAGAUGAUCAGGGGCUAACUCUAUGAUAUACCGAUACUGACUGAUAAAGUCACGGCUAUAUCACUUUAAGACUGAAUACAGGUCUUGUCUAGCUAGACAUACCAUCUAGCAGUAGAGUCAAUAAGGCUGUCUUGAAAUACAUGCAUUAACAACUUCUCAUUAUUAGCAUUGGCAGUCAUCUUUCAGCAAUACAUGAUGAUAUAAAUCUUUAGGCAUUUUGUACCAUCAUAUUUUUCAAACUUCAAAACCUUAAACUUUAGAGGAAUAAUGACAUCUAUGACUAAAUAGAGCUCAGCAACAUCUACAGAUCCAUAAAAACUAAUUCUCUCUAUGGCUCGUAACCUUUUCUCUAAUAAGUUCAUCUUCUGUUCAGCUUUUAAGCCUUCUAAAGUAUCUUUUUCCUAAAGCUUUAGCUUCUAUUUCUCUUUUGGAUUAUCUAAAUUAAGGAUUAAUACUGGUUUUACUACAUUCUCAUUAAAGAUAAGAUUUACAUAACUCUGGCACUAUCUUGAGUUUGAAGCUAAUGAAAUUUUAAGAUAUGUAUACCCUACAAGAUAUGUGAACUAUUGUGGUAGUGGGUCUUAUAUGAAUUAGGCUUGAUACGACCUAACACUAAAAAGGUACAGAGGGUCAUCCAUUUUUUGUAAUGGAUAGUCUUGCUGGCUAGUAUUUUUUUCUAUUCCUUUCUUUUUUUUUAACUUAUUCAAAGCAUCCAAAAUCUUAUUCAACUUCCCUUCUAGCUUCUCUUGAGCUUUCUUUAUCCUCUCAAGAUGAUUAAAAUUUUUUUUGUUCCAUUUGUCUUGUUCGAGCUUUUAUAUUAUAUUGGUGACUUGAUUGUGUGAGAUUUUUUAUUGCUAGAGCUAUCAUUGAACCUUGUGUCAUAACGUCUAGAUCCAGGGAUCUAUCGCUAGACAUUACCUUUUAGGAGUCGCCACCAAUCUUUUUUAUCUAGGUACGAUUGGCCACCUAAAAAAUCUGUCCUUUUAGGGAACACCUAAGUUUAAGAGUCCCUAAAAGAAUAUGUUUAGGUUUGCUAACCAGAACAGGGUUUGAGAGUUCGGUUACGUGUGAGGAAGGUUAUAGCACCCUCACAACGGCCAUCAAAAGAUGAUACCAACUUAAAUUUGUGUUAUCCAAUGGGCCUUAAAAUUUUACCAAGUAAUUAAUUAUUGAAAAUUAUUCUCAAUUGACUCUAAUACUUUUAGCAAAAAAUUAAAAAAAUUCCCUCACCUCAGGAGUAUGCAAGAAAACUAUUGUUUCAUUUACAGAGGCUCCAUCGUCAGAUUAUUUAUCAUAAAAAAAAAAAAGAAAAGAAUGAUUGUUCUUGUGCAGGAAAAAUUGAUACUUUCAACUUUUUCUCAAAAAUAUUCUUUUAAAACUUUAAUUUCGAGGAAAAUUGAUACUUUCAACUUUUCCUAAAAAAUUUAUUUUUUUGAAAAUUUAUUUUUAAGAAAAAUUGAUACUUUCAAUUUUUUCCCAAAAAUAUUUUUUUUGAAAUUUUUAUUUUCAAAGAAAAUUGAUACUUUCAACUUUUCCUCAAAAACCUUUUUUGAAAAUUUAUUUUUAAGGAAAAUUGAUACUUUCAACUUUUCCCGAAAAUAUUUUUUUGAAACUUUAAUUUUCGAGGAAAAUUGAUACUUUCAACUUUUUCUCAAAAACCCUUUUUUUGAAAAUUUAUUUUUAAGGAAAAUUGAUACUUUCAACUUUUCUCCAAAAACAUUUUUUUGAAACUUUGAUUUUCGAGGAAAAUUGAUACUUUCAACUUUUCCUCAAAAAAAACCUUUUUUUUCUAAAAUUUAUUUUUAAAGAAAAUUGAUACUUUCAACUUUUUCCCAAAAAUAUUUUUUGAAAACUUUGAUUUUCGAUAAAAAUUGAUAAUUUCAACUUUUCUUCAAAAAACCUUUUUUUGAAAAUUUAUUUUUAAGGAAAAUUGAUACUUUCAACUUUUCCCCAAAAAUAUAUAUUUUUUAUUUUAUUUAAAGAAAAUAACAAAAUAAAAAUGAAAAAAAAAGUAAAAUAAAAAUAAAAAUAAAAUAAAGAUAAAAGAAUAUUAAAUAAACCUAAUCUAAUAAUAAAAAAACAAAUAAAUAAAUAAAUAAAUUAAAUAAUUAAUUCAAAAAAAAAAAAACUUGGAGCGGCUUGGAGAACGGCUCGACUCGGCUCGGCUUAAGGAAGAAAAACGGCUCAGAGAAGAGGCUCGACUAACGGCUCGAAGAGGCAGAACACGCACAGGUCGAAAAACGGAUCGACGCUCGGGUCGGGUCGAAUCUUGACAAAACACACGGAUUCCUCUGAUUAUUUACCGCAAACGACGCGUCUUUGGAAGGGUAUAAGUAAGGCUGUUUCCUUUGGUUUUUUGCAUAGAAACCUUCUUACCUCUCUCUCUUUUCUUUUCUUUUCUCUCCCUUCUCUCUAAAACGCCCGAUGAACUCCAGUUGAAUAUUCACCAGAUUCUGAAAUUUUUUCUCGGAAUCUGAGUUUUUCGUCGAAAGUUCAUCGAAAAGUUGAUCGAUUUCUGAGAAUCUUCACUAGAAACUAGGCAGCUGAUCGAAAACUUUAAACUUGGUCAAAAUUGUCGUCGAAAAAUUCAACGUCCAUCGAAAAAGUCACCGAAAUCUAGAAAUUUUCUAGAAAUUUCUAGAAAAAAAUUUCGUAAAAAAUCUCCAAAAUUUUUUUUCGAUUCCUACAGCUGUUCUAACACUUCUAAACCUUUUUUUAGCCUUCAAAAAUCUUUUAUAUGCCCUUUUCUCUCAACCAGUAGCUUCUUUCCUCACUGUUUUUUGUCUCUGUGUUCUGUUCUUGAGGAUCCUUUUUAUAGGGAUUGAUCAGAAGAGUUUCUGAUCAAUCCCAAUUCCUCUUUGGAUCGGGAUUCAAUCAUUGAAUCCAACAUAGACUCUUUUGAUUGAAUCCCAAUCUAAUUUCCAGUCGGAUAAAUAAAAAAAAUAAAAAAAUUAAAUAAAAAUAAAUCAGAUAAAUAAAAAAAAUUAACAGAUAAAUUAAAAUUAAAUAACAGAUAAAUUAUAAUAUAUAAUAUGAUAUACCUAUUGUCGUAACGUCUAGAUCCGGGGAUCCAUCGCUAGACAUUGACUUUCAGGGAGUCGCCACCAAUCUUUUUUUUAUCUAGGUGCGAUUGGCCACCUAAGGAAUCUGUCCUUUUAGGGAACACCUAAGCUUAAGGGUCCCUAAAAGAAUAGGUUCGGGUCUGCUUAACCAGAACAGAGUUCGGGAGUUCGGUUACGUGUGAGGAAGGUUAUAGCACCCUCACAACGCCCAUCAAAAGAUGGUACCAGCUUAAAUUUGUAUUAUCCAAAAGCCUUAAAAUUUUACCAAGUAAUUAGUUGUUGGAAAUGAUUCUCAAUUGACUCUAAUACUUUUAGCAGAAAAUUGAGAAAAUUCCCUCACCUCAGGAGUAUGCAAGAAAAACUACUGUUUCACUUGCAGGGGCUCCGUCGUCGGAUUUAUUAAAGAAAAAUCAAAAUCAUCCAAUUAAUUAUUGGAAAUUAUUCUCAAUUAACUCUAAUACUUUUAGCAGAAAAUUGAGAAAAUUCCCUCACCUCAAGAGUAUACAAGAAAAACUACUGUUUCACUUGCAGAGGCUCCGUCGUCGGAUUAAUUAAAGAAAAAAAUCAAAAUCAGCCAAGUAAUUAAUUAUCGAAAAUUAUUCUCAAUUGACUCUAAUACUUUUAGCAGAAAAUUGAGAAAAUUCCCUCACCUCAGGAGUAUGCAAGAAAAACUACUGUUUUUACUUGUAGAGGCUCCGUCGUCGGAUUAAUUAAAGAAAAAAGAAAAAAAAAAUCAAGAUCAAAAUCAAAGUCAAAUAAAAAAUUCAAAAAAAAAAAAAAAAAAAAAAAAAAAAAAAAACCUGGAGCGGCUCGGCUAUCGGCUCGGCUCGGCUCGGCUCAAGGAAGAAAAAAAACGGCUCGGAGGAGCGGCUUGGAAGCUCGGCUCGGCUCGGCUUGGCUCGGAGGGAGGCUGGCACGCGCGGGUCAGAAGCGGGUCGACGCUCGGGUCGGGUCGGGUCACGGCAAAACGCGCGGAUCCUCUGGUUACUUAAGGCCAAAACGACGUCGUUUUUGGAGGGUAUUUAAGGCACUCUCCUCUGUUUUUCGGCAGAACGCUCCUCCCCUCUCUCUCUCUUCCUUCCCUUUUCUCUCCCUUCUCUCUAGAAAACCGAAGAACACCGGUGCCGGAUUCUGGAAAUGUCGCCGGAAUCUGGAAUUUUUGCCGGAAUAUGGCCGGAAUCUUCGCCGGUUUCUGGGAAUCUUGCCGGAAACUGGGUUGGUCACCGGAAUCUUCAAGUUUCGCCGGAAUUUGUGCCGGAAAAUUCAAAUGUCGCCGGAAUUGUCGCCGGAAUCUGAAAAUUUCCCAGAAAUUUCCAGAAAAAAUUUUCGCAAAAAAUUUCUAAAAAAUUUUUUCAGAUCCCUACAGCUAUCCUAACACUUCUCGACCUUCUUUAGCCUUCGAAAACUCUUUUAAACACUUUUUUUCUCUCAAAUUCAGUAGCUUUGCUCACUGUUUUUUUCUCCUCUUGAACUGUUCCAGGAGGUGCUUUAUAUAGGGAUUGAUCAGGAGUUUCUGAUCAAUCCCAACUCCUCCUUGGACGGGGAUUCAGUCUUUGAAUCCAAUUGGACUCUUUAGAUUGAAUCCCCACUCCCAGUAGGAUUCUUCAGCUUUAAUCUCAACCUUCCAAAAAAAAUCAAAUAAAUAUAAAAAAAUAAUAGAUAAUUAGAACAGAUAAAUAAAAAGAUAUUAUAAAAAAAAAAAAUUUGAUAAUCAGAAAAAAUCAGAACAGAUAAUUUAAAAAAAGAUAACAAUAAAUAAGAUAAACCCAAAAAUAUCUUACAAAAAUAAUAAUAAUAAUAAUAAUAAUAAAUAUAUAACUAUAUAAAUAAUAUACAUAUAAAUCUAAUCUAAAUAAAUAAAUACAGAUAUACAUAUAUUAAUAAUAAUAAAUAUAAAAAUACAAAAGAAAAGAAAAAAAAGGAAAAAAAAAUAAUAAUAAUACAUGAUUGAAUUGGGCCUUACCCAUUUGGCCAGGCCCAAAUGAUCUGGGUCAGGCCCAAUUGAUCCGGGUCAGGCCAAUUGAUCCGGGCCCGGACUGAUUGGGUGUCUACACUAUAAAUAUUAAUAGAAAAAGAAAAAGAAAAAAAGAAAAGAAAAAAAAAUAAAAUAUAUAUAUUAAUAAAUAGUAAUGAUCAAUAAAUAAAUAAUAAAUACCUAAGAUAAAAGAAAUAUAUAUAUAAAUAAUAAUAAAAAAUAAAAAUAAAAUAAAAAUAAAAUAAAAUACAAAUGUAAAAUACAAAAAAAAAAUAAAAAGAAAAAUAGAAAGAAAAUAGACGCACCUAUUUGGACCAGGCCCAAUUGAUCCGGGCCUGGACCAAAUUGGAUGUCUACAGCUGUCCCUCUUUGCACAUUUUCUGUGAAAUAGAAAUUGCGUAAAGACGUAGACACCCAAUCAAGACUCAACUCGACAUUUCUAUUUUUUGUUUUUUUGCUUUUUUUUUUUGUUUUCGACCGAAGCUCCUCUAAGCAGAGGCUCAAUGAGUUUGAGAAACAUAAAUGGCUCCUCUAAUCCGAGGCUCAACAACUUUGGAAAAUAAAUUGCUCCUCUAAACAGAGGCACCACAACUUUGAAAAAGUAAAUUGCUCCUCUAAACAGAGGCACCACGACUUUGGAAAGUAAAUUGCUCAUUGACAAUCAUGUCCAAAGGAGUUGAAAGUUGUGUUUGAAAGAAUUUCAGGAGAUUAUGCCCAAAGGUCUUAUAAAUCAACCCUGAUACCAAAAGACAUCCUAUUUCAAGGAUUAAGAACUUACCUGACAAGCUUUUUUUUCAAUUUUGAAAAUGUCUUCACAUCUAUCUUCUCUAUGUUGGAUCUUGAAACAUCCCUACUUCUUGAAUUUAUACAUUAUACUUUCUUGAAAGUAGUGUAUGCUAUGCAAUGCAUAUGAAUUUCAAUGCAUGCUAUGCAAAUGUUGGCCAAUUAAUUCCUAUUCAAUGUAUGGUACUCAAGUUUCUCAAGCUCUUUUCUUAGACAUCAAGCCCUUUGAUUCUUCAAAGAUUCAAUUACACUGCUCUUCUAAGAUCGAGCCAGUGUAGCUCUUAAUUGUCUUUUCCACUCACAUUCUUCCUGUAAGAAAUCUUUUCCCAGAUUCAAUGUCCUAAUCAGGAACUGAACAUCUUGAUUAUGCCUUUAUCACUCUUAACUUAUUCAAUGUAAUGUAAAAAUCUUUCAUGUUGUUAUUCAUUCAUCAAUCAUUAUUUUAAACUCAAAAAGUAAGAAUGCAUUUGCACAUUUCUUCCAUGGUGGGGUAUUAGGAAGAAAGGAAUAUGAAUGGUUGAUAAACAGUCAUCAAAAAAAGGCACAAAAAAUGAAAUAAAAUAUUUUUUAUUAGCAAAAUGUUGGCAAACUUUGGCCAAGAAGAAUUACAAGGAUAAGUGUGGAGACAAGUCAAAAAAUGAACAAUCGGAUGAUUAUGAUAACAUAUCUCAAGGUUUCUCUGAAAACCCAACAUUUUUAUGUAUUUAACAACUUGGAACUUUUUCGAAUUUGCUAGCCUCCACGUCAGCGGACUUUCAAAUUCGAUGCUGUAUUCUCCUUAUCUAAGCUGCCUUUUUAGGUUUUCAACUUAGACAAACCCCCUAUGACUCAAACCGCCCUUUUAGGGUUUUCGCCUUGAGUCCUCUUUUUUCAUUCACUUUUUUUUUUCAUUUUCAUUUUUUAUUUUUUUAUUUUUUUCAUUUUUUUCAAGCAUGGUAUUUCUUCACAGCAUCGAAAUUUAUAAGAUGGGGUAAAUCAUUUCCAUCCAUCUCAAUCAGUAUUAGUGCUCCACCUAAAAAAGCCUGUUUCACUACAUACAGCCUUCUCAAUUCGGAGUCCAUUUUUCUCUACUAUUGUGCUAGAUUGAGAGAAUUCUUUUCAAGACCAACUCUCUUUCUCCAAAGCAACGGAGUCGAAUCUUCUUAUCAUGAGCCCUCAUCAUUCUUUUUUGAUAUAGCUGACUAUGGUACAGUGCAGUUAAUCUUUUUUCUUCUAUGAAAUUUAACUGCUCAUAACGUUCUCGAAUCCAUUCAGCUUCUUUCAACUCAACUUUUUUUAGAACUCUCAAGGAGGGGAUUUGUACUUUCACUGGUAGUACAGCUUCCAUCUCAUAAACUAAAGAAAAUGGGGUUGCCCUAGUAGAGGUGCGAAUUGACGUUUGAUAUGCAUGUAAUGCAAAUAACAACUUCUCAUGCCAAUCUUUAUAAGUCUCAGUCAUCUUCUCCAAAAUCUUUUUUAUGUUCUUAUUGGUUGCCUCAACUGCCCCAUUCAUUUUCGAACGGUAUGGUACCGAGUUAUGAUGCUUGAUCUUGUAUUGAGUAUAUAUUUCUUGCAUCAUUUUACUAUUUAAAUUCUUGGCAUUAUCUAAAAUAAUUCUCUCUAAAAGUCUAUAUUUACAGAUGAUCUCUUUUUUUAUGAACUUGUAAACCAUAGAGCGUAUCACACUUGUAUAUGAUGUUGCCUCUACCCAUUUUGUAAAGUAAUCUAUCAUCACAAAAAUGAAUUUGUGCCCCGUUAGAAGCCUUUGGGGUGAUUGCACCAAUGACAUCCAUGCCCCAUAUUGAGAAUAAACAUGGUGGUGCCAUAACAUGUAAAGCAGAUGGUGGAGCAUGGAUCUUAUCAGCAUAUAUCUGGCAUUUAUGACAUUUACGAGCAUAAUCAAUGCAAUCAUUCUUCAUCAUCAACCAGUAAUAUCUUGCUCUCAUGAUCUGUUUUGUCAUCAUAUGUCCACUAGUAUGUGCCUCACAUAUUUCAUCAUGCACCUCUUCAAUGAUUCAUUUCACUCUAAUCUUAUUUACACACUUCAAUAAUACUUAAUCCCUGUUUCUUUUGUACAGGACAUCCCCAUCCAGAAAAAAGCUCAUAGCCAAUCUUCGGAUGACCCUUUUAUCAUUUUUUGUUGCUUGCACUAGGUACUGUUGAUCCUUAAUAUACUGUAGGAUAUCAUAAUACCAGGGCUUUCUAUCUUUUUCUUCCUCUAUAUUAGAGUAAUAAGUUGGUAUAUCCUUAACAUCUAACUUGAUGGGCUGAAUGUCGGUAUUAUCAUUAAUUCAAAUCAUUACAGCUAGAGUAACCAAUGCGUCAGCAAUCAAAUUCUCUUCUCGAGGUAAGUGGUCAAACUGGAUAUCUUCAAAUUAUUUCAUCAACUCUAGAAUAUACUUAUGAUAUGAAACAUGUUUUGAAUCUCUUAUCCCCAUUCUUCUUUUAACUGAUAUAUAACUAAAGCUGAGUCUCUAAAUACUUUUAGUACUUUCACUCUUUUAUCUAUAGUAGCUUGUAAGCCCAUGACACAUGCCUUAUAUUCAACGAUAUUAUUUGUGUAAUUAAAAUUUAACCCUACUGUUACAUGGUAGUAUUGUUCUUCUGGAGAGAUCAGAAUUACCCCAAUUCUAUGCCCCAAGGCAUUAGCAGCUCCAUCAAAGUACAUUCUCUAAUAUUUUUCUCCAUGCUCCUCUUCUUUCAGUUGAGAAAUAGUUAUUAAGUCUUCAUCAAGAAAUUCUAGCUUCAUUGGCUCAUACUCUUCAGUAGCACGAUCUGUAAAAAAUUUUACUAUAACACUUUUUUUAUUGCUUUUUGGCUCACGGAUAUAAUAUCAUAUUUCGAGAGCAUUACUUGCUAUCUAGCGAUUCUCUCAGACAAAGAAGGCUUAUCGAAGAUAUACUUAAUAGGAUCCAGUUCGCUAUGAGCCACGUAGUAUGAUAGAGCAUAUACUGUCUGAGUCUUUUGGCAAUCCACGCUAAUGCAUAACAUAUUUUCUCUAAUGAAGAAUACUUGGAUUCAUAUUCCAUAAACUUUUUACUCAGAUAGGAAAUAGCUCUCUCAUUUCGGCUAGCCUCGUCUUGCUGCCUCAGCAGACAUCCCAUUGAAUUUUUAUAUACAAUUAAGUAUAAAAUUAAAGGUUUUCCUAAAAUAGUGGCACCAAUACUGGAGGGUUCGAUAAAUAUUGCUUAAUUUUAUCAAAUGCCUCUUGACAUUCUUCAUUUCAUUUCCUAGGAUUAUUCUUACGAAGAAGCUUAAAUAUAGGAUCACAUUUAUAAAUAAGCUGAGAGAUAAACUAAGAAAUGUAGUUCAAUCUCCCCAGAAAACCUCGAACUUUCUUUAGCGUACUAGAGGUGACAGAUUUUGAAUGGCCCGUAUCUUAUCCGGAUCGACUUCAAUUCCUCUUUCACUGACCACAAAGCCUAGCAACUUCCCUGACUUUACCCCAAAGGUGCACUUGGCUGGGUUUAAUUUGAGCUGAAAUUUUUUUAACCUUUCAAAUAACUUUCUGAGGCUAGUGACAUGAUCUUCAUCCUCACAUGAUUUUGCAAUCAUAUCGUCUACAUACACCUCGAUCUUUUUGUGCACCAUGUCAUGGAAGAGUGUUACCAUGGCCCUUUGAUAUGUUACCCCAUCAUUCUUUAACCUAAAAGGCAUGACUUUGUAACAAAAAAUUAUCCACAGAGUCAUAAAAGUAGUAUUUUCCAUAUCAUCUAUAGCUAUUUUUAUCUGAUUAUAUCCUGAGAAACCAUCCAUAAAGGAGAAAAUCGAAUGCUUAGCCGAGUUAUCUACCAGUGUGUCGAAAUGAGGCAAAGGAAAGUUAUCCUUUGGGCUAGCCUUAUUCAUGUCCCGAUAGUUUACACACAUUCGUACUUUUCUAUCUUUCUUAGGCACUGGGACUAUAUUGGCUACCCACUCUGGAUACUUAGCCACUUGUAGAAAAUCUGUAUCAAAUUAUUUAUUUACCUCUUCUUUAAUCUUUAGUAGCAUUUCGAGCUUCAUCCGUCUCAGUUUCUGCUGAACUAGCUUACAUUCUGACUUUAGGGGUAAUUUAUGCUCCAUUAUCUCUGUGCUCAGUCCUGACAUAUCCUGAUAAGACCAAGCAAAUAUAUCUAUAAAUUCUUGAAAUAGGUCUGCCAAUCGUUGCCUAUCUCCUGAUGAAAGUGAAGUGCCCAUUCUGACCUCUUUCUUAUUCUCUUCAUCUCUCAAUUCAUUAAGUUCACUACUUCCUAAUGAGGCUCAAUUGGCUUAUUUUCUUGUUCAAUCAAUCUCAUUAGGUCCGGAGGCAUAACAUAUUCUUCAGAAUUCUCUUCAUUGUCAAGUUCAUCAGUGUUAAUUGAAUUCUCAAAGUUAACCUCUUGAUUGUUAUCAUGAUUAUCUUCAUGUUCAUUUAAAGACCUGAAAUUGAAUGAAAUGAGAUAUGUUGGUAAGAUGUGCUUGAAAAGAUGGAAAUAAUGAAGACACAAAAAGAAAUGAAUGAAAAUACAUCCUUCAUAUUUUUAUUAAAAAUAAUAAAUGAUGAAUGGCCCAAACAAGAAAGAUCACCCUAAUGCCUUGGGCAAUAGCUAUUGAGAUAUUACAAUUACAUUGUAUUAGUAUCAAAAGUCAUAGGCAUCUCGAUGGCACUCCAAUUAUUCAGCUCAUAAUCCGACAGACAAAGGUGAACCCAUUCCUCUUGAUUAAGCCCCUCCUCAUUUUCACUUAUAGCAUUCACAUUAUGAUUUGGUAAGGGAUUGCCACUAACAUUCGGUACAGUCACCCCUCCCAUAUCAAAGUAAAUCAUUUCAUCCUUGAUCAACCGUUACACUUUAUGUUUCAGGGUGGUGUAAUUUUUGAUGGAAUGACCAACAAUCCCAUAAUGGUAGUCACAGUGGGCUGUAAGAUCGUACCACUUGGGGUAAGGUGGCUUGAGGGGGUUCCAAUUUACUUAGAGCAAUCAAAUGACUGUUGUAAAGCUCCUUAUAUAAUUCUGUAUAAGUCAUUGGAAUCGAGUCAAAUACAGGUUUCUCGUGGGUAGUUUGUUGCUCUCGUGAACCAUUAAUGGGGUUAGUUGGGCGAUUUUGAGGUCUUGGGGUAGGCUGAUUGUUAGGACUAUACAUGGUAUUUUGAGGCCUAUGAGGGGUUUGAUAUGUUUGGAGGUAUGGUGAUUGUACAAAUGGUUGGUAUAGGUGAAGAGAAGUGUUAUUUACAGUAGGCUAAUAUGUAGAUAUUUCGGUGGUGAGUAGGGUGGAUAACCUCCAAAUUGCUGUCUAUCAAAGCUCACAGCCUGAGCUUUAAUUUCUUUCUUCUUCGGGGCUCUCUUGCUAGAUGCUUCAUUUUCUUUUAGCUUGUCAUUCUUGAUGGCACUCUCAAUAAUUUCUCUCGAAAUCACCAUAUCAGUAAAGUUUUUCGUUGCAUUCCCUAUCAUCUUAUCAUAAUAGAGAGGUUUUAAAGUACUAACAAAUAACACUGUAGUCUUUUUUCUGGUCAGAGAAGGUUGUACCUGAGAAGCAAUAUCCUUCCACCUUUGGGCAUACUCUUUAAAAGACUCAUUUGUCUUUUUUUCUAGAUUCUGUAAAGAUAAACAAUCAGGGGCCAAAUCGAUAAUAUAUCGAUAUUGACCGAUGAAGUCAUGUGCCAUAUCGCUCCAAGAGUGAAUGCGAGUUCUAUCCCUAUGAACAUACCACAUGACGGCAGAGCCUGUAAGGCUAUCCUGAAAGACAUACAUUAAUAAUUUUUUAUCAUGAGCAUGAGCUACCAUCUUCCGGUAAUACAUGGUGAUGUGAGUUUUGGGGUACUUCAUACCGUCAUAUCUUUCAAAUUUUGGUACUUUGAACUUAUGAAGAAUGACCACAUCAGGGACUAAGCAGAGCCCAGCAGCAUCAACUGACCCAUAAAAACUAAAUCCUUUUACAGCCUGUAGCCUUUGCUCUAGCAUGCUAAUCUUAGAGCUUUCUUGAGUUUUCACUCUUAUCUUUUCUUUCUCAUUCUCUUUUAAAUCAUCUAGAUCAAGAAUUGGUUCUACUGUCUUUUCAGUAAAGACAGGAUUUACAUAGCUAUUAUAAUGCCCUAGGUUGGAAGCUGAUGGUAUUUCAGGGUAUGUUGGAUAUGUGAAGUGCUGCGGUGGAACCUCUUGAGCAGACUGGGUUUGAGGGGGGCCAAAACUUGGAGGAUACAAAGGGUCAACCACGUUUUGUAAUAAGGGAACUUGUUGGUUUGUAUUUUCUUCAACUCUUUUUCCCUUAUUCAGCUUAUUGAGAGCAUCCAAAAUUUUAUUCAAUUCACUUUUCAUCUUUUCCUGUGCUUUUUCUAUCUUUUCAAAUCUGUGAGAAUUUUUUUGCUCUAUUUGUCUGGCUCUGGAUCUUGUGUUGUAUCGAUGGGCAGGGUUUUCGCUUGAUGAAGCUAUUCUUGAACCUUGAGUACCAUAUCUUAGAAUUAGUAAUGUUAUGCGAUGCUUUAUGUAUGAUGCUUUGAUGUACGAAUAAAAUGUAUAUUUUCCUGAAUGAAAUCUAAUAUGAAAUGGAUGCAAAUGAUUAUGUUAAAAUACGAUCAUGAAAGUAAUGCAGAUGCAUAAAAUCAGACAAACAACAUAGUUAGUUUCAUGGAUGAAAUGAAAGUGAUGUUGAUGCAUAAUGUUACAUAUGAUAAUGAAAAUGAUGCACAAAGUUAAACAAUCAAAAUGAUUAGAUAAACACAUUUUUUGUGUCUUAAUUUCAGGGUAUAUCUAUCAUUGGGUAGAAAGGGCUUUUAUCCUAGGUUUAAGCACUUUUAAAGUUUACUAUAUGCGGUUUUAAGGUCAAAGUCUAAAGGUUCUCAAAUUGCUCCUUACAUCAUUGUCCAUCACAGACUAGUAAGGUACCCUAAUCCUCACCCAUUACAGGCUACAAGCGAAAAAAGUUCAAUUUGAGUGAGAGUAUUUCGCUAGCCAUUACGGAGGUAUUAGACCUCACGAAAGCAAUAGGUACUUUACUCCUUCCUAGAGGGAUGGAGCUCGGGUGUAGAGCUCGGGUGUAGAGCUCAUGUUAUGUACAUGCAUAUGAAUGACAUAAUUAAUAAAAUAAAUAAACAUGAAUGAAUAAUAACACAUAUAUACAAAAAAGUUCAAUUUUAUUAGGCUUUUGGAUAACACAGACUAUUUGCAUACUUGACUUUCAAAGUCUCCAGUGGAGUCGUCAAGCUGUCAUAACGUCUAGAUCCGGAGAUCUAUCGCUAGACAUUGCCUUUUAGGAGUCGCCACCAAUCUUUUUUAUCUAGGUGCGAUUGGCCACCUAAGAAAUCUAUUCUUUCAGGGAACACCUAAGUUUAAGGGUCCCUAAAAGAAUAGGUUCAAGUCUGCUAACCAGAAUAGGGUUCAAGAGUUCGGUUACGUGUGAGGAAGGUUAUAGCACCCUCACAACGCCCAUCAAAAGAUGGUACUAGCUUAAAUUUAUGUUAUCCAAUGGGUCUUAAAAUUUUACCAAAUAAUUAAUUAUUGAAAAUUAUUCUUAAUUCACUCUAAUACUUUUAGCAGAAAAUUAAAAAAAUUCCCUCACCUCAGGAGUAUGCAAGAAAAUUACUAUUUCACUUGCAGAGGCUCCAUCGUCGGAUUAUUUAGCAUAAAAAAAUAAAAAAAAAAGAAAAGAAGAAAAGAAUGAUUGUUCUUGUGCAAGAAAAAUUGAUACUUUCAACUUUUUCUCAAAAAUAUUCUUUUGAAACUUUAAUUUCGAGGAAAAUUGAUACUUUCAACUUUUCCUAAAAAAUUUAUUUUUUUGAAAAUUUAUUUUUAAGGAAAAUUGAUACUUUCAAUUUUUUCCCAAAAAUAUUUUUUGGAAACUUUUAUUUUCGAGGAAAAUUGAUACUUUCAACUUUUCCUCAAAAACGUUUUUUGAAAAUUUAUUUUUAAGGAAAAUUGAUACUUUCAACUUUUCCCAAAAAUUUUUGUUUGAAACUUUGAUUUUCGAGAAAAAUUGAUACUUUCAACUUUUCCUGAAAAUAUUUUUUUAAAACUUUGAUUUUUGAGAAAAAUUGAUACUUUCAAAUUUUUCUCAAAAACCUUUUUUUUGAAAAUUUAUUUUUAAGGAAAAUUGAUACUUUUAACUUUUCCCCAAAAAUAUUUUUUUUGAAACUUUGAUUUUUGAGGAAAAUUGAUACUUUCAACUUUUCCUAAAAAAAACCUUUUUUUUUUGAAAAUUUAUUUUUAAGGAAAAUUGAUACUUUCAACUUUUCCCCAAAAAUAUUUUUUUUUAUUUUGUUUAAAGAAAAUAACAAAAUAAAAGUGAAAAUAAAAAAAUAAAAAAUAAAAAAAGUAAAACAAAAAUAAAAAUAAAAUAAAGAUAAAAGAAUAUUAAAUAAACCUAAUCUAAUAAUAAAAAACAAAUAAAUAAAUAAAUUAAAUAAUUAAUUAAAAAAAAAACAUGGAGCGGCUCGGAGAACGGCUCGACUUGCCUCAGCUCAAGGAAGAAAAACGGCUCGAAAAAGUGGCUCGGGAAGUUGGGCUCGGCUCGGCUAACGACUUAGGGAGGUAGAACACACGCGGGUCGACACUCGGGUCGGAUCGGAUCUUGGCAAAAUACGCGAAUCUUCUGGGUUAUGUAACGCAAAAACGACGUCGUUUUGAAAGGGUAUAUAAGGCUAUUUCCUUCGUUUUUCGACAGAAACCUUCUCUCCUCUCUCUCUCUUUCUUCCAUUUCUCUCAUUUCCUAAUGAAAAAUAAAAUUUUGAUAUUCAGAUAAAGAUAAUAAUCAAACAAAAGAUUUCAAAAGAGAGAGAUUUACUUGUUCAAAGAUGAAAACUCGAUUUCGAGAACAGAUGAGAUUUUUAAAGUUAUUGAAUCUCUGCUUAUAAGAGCUUUUUCAAGAUGAAUUUUAAAGAUGUUGAGCUUCUACUUAGAGGAGUUUUUUCAAGAUGAAUUUUUAAAAUUAUUGAGACUUUGCUUAGAGGAGCUUUUUCAAAAUGGAUUUUUGAAGUUGUUGAGCCUAUGCCUAGAUGAGCUUUUUCAAUAUGGAUUUUUAAAGUCGUUAAACCUUUGCUUAGAAGAGCCCUUUUAAAAUUUCAAAAGUCAUUGAGCCUCAAUUGAGAUGAGCCCUUGUAAAUUUUUAAAAACAUCAAUUAAAAAAUUGAGUCUCUGAUUAGACUAGUUUUUUCUUCUUUUCGGAUAAAAUGGUUGUGUAUUUGUCUUUGUCUUAUUCCUGAUUCUCAAAAAUAGGCAAAAAAAGUCAGUUAUAGACACAAUUUUAUUAGUUUAUUUAUUUAUUUUUUUUUCUUUUUUUAACAGCUUUUUUGUUAACCGUCGGUAGUCACACUGCCAGCGACUUUGACAGUUGCCUACAGCUGUCAGCGACUCUGAUAGCCACUGACAACCAUUCUAACAAUCGGUGGCUGUCCUAAUUGUAGGCAAUCAAAAUCUCAAAUUUUUUGAGAUUUUGAUCUUUCUUUUUGCUCUAUAAAUAGAGCUGUAAAAAUACCAAUGAGGGAGAGGAAAAAAAAGAAGCCCAAAAAUCUUGUAAAAAAAAUAGAUAAAAAAGACACACUCACUGCUAGAUUAAAAAAAAAAGCUUCCUAUGAAAAAAAAUCAAACACAAAAAAACAAAUUGUCUCUAGAACGGGAACAACAACGUCAAUCUACAAAAAUAAGAAAAAUUAGUUUAACUGAACCUUUCAGGCCAGAUCCCUGCUGUUGAGAGCUUUUUUUUUGUAAAACUAGGUUCGGAUCUAGACUCAAGAGACUGGAAACAUUCAUUUAGUGAAUUUUAGGAUUUUUUGACAACUGACAAAUGACGACCGACAUGGCGCAAUAGUCACCAGAUUCUGGGUUCUAGAGAAAGGGAAAGUGUUUGAGAGGAAGAGAGAGAAAGAAUAAGAAGAAAACUAAAAAAAAUAACUAAUUUGGCAUUUAAAUAGGCUUUCAAAAUAACAUUGUUUAGGUAACAAGCAAAACGACAUCGUUUUAACCCAAAGAAUCCGUGCAUAGACCCGCAACUAGACCCUGAGGUCCGCACACUUGAUUCGACGAACCCGUUCUCCCUUUGACUCCCCACCAGUCCAGCUGAAUCGACCCAGCUAAAUCGGCCUAGGCCGAAUUAGACUGGAACCAAACCGCUGAACCUGAACUAACAGGACUAGACCAUGCGUUAACCGGACCUUUGACCAAUCACGUUCAAGUAAAAAAAAAAUUUUUUUGAAUUUUUUUAGAUUUUUUUAUUUUAAAAUUUUAUUAUUAAUAUUUAUGCAUGUUAAAAUAUUUAGAUUUACUAGAAUAAAUUUUAUGUUGUUUAUAAUAAUAAUUAAUAUAAAUAAACAAUGAAAUACAUAAUUAAAAUUUUGUGAUAAUUUUUGUUUUUUUUAAAUAAAAUAAUAAACCUAAAAAUAAUAACAAAUGCAAUAAAAUAAAAUAAAAAUUUUAUCCGACGAUUAGAUUCAAAGAUACUUUGAGUAGUGAUGCUUACGAAAUCUUUAGGUGAAAAUAUUUUUUUUAAAUACAACAACUGUAUUAGAGUAUUUGUAAAAGAUUUUCAAUACAAUAAAAAAUUUUAAUAAAAAAUAAAAUUAACUAAUAAAUUAAAAAAAGGUGAUAAAAUAUGAGGAAAAAAAAUUUUAUUCGAUGACGGAUUGUAAGAGUAUUUUGAGUAGAGAUACUUUAAGAAAUCUCUAGGUGAGAAGAUUUUUUUAAUAUUACUAGUGUAUUAAAAUAUUUAUAGAAAAUCUUCAAUAUAAUAAAAAUUUUUCUUUUCUUCAAAAAUUUAAAUAACUAAUAAAAAGAUAAUAAAAAUCAAUACUAAAAUGUGUGCAUCAACAUAUUAGUAUUUUUUGCAUUGCAUGCAUAACAUGAUUUUUACAAAAAAUAAUUUUGAAUCUCCGAAGAUGAGAUUCUAAGAUAUUUGAGAAACGAUGCUUAAAAAAUCUUUAAAUGAAAAAAAGUUCUUCUAAUGUUACAAAUGUAUUAGAACAUUUUAAGAAUUAUUUCAAUAAAAAUGUUCUAAUUUAUUUUUCUCGAAUAAAAAAAUGAAACAUUAAAAAAAAUUAAAUUAAAUUAAAAAAUCAAUUUCUAAUAAAUAAAAAAUCAAGAAAAUUAUUUUCAAAUACUGAAAAUAAGACUGUUUUUAUCAAAUUAAUGGAUAACACAUAAUUAAACAGUACUAUUUAAACAGACGUUGUGAGGGUGCUAAUCUUUUUUCACGCGUAAUCGACUCUCGAACUCAGACAGUUGUGUAAACCCUAAAAUUAUCCUUUUAAUAAAUUUUAAUUAAUUUUAAAAUUUUAUUAAAAAGAUAUAUUUUAAUAGAUGAUCAAUCAUAUCUAAUUAAAAAAAAUUGAUGAUAAUUUUAUUUUUUUAUUGUAUUUUUAAAUUUAUCAGAUGAACAUAAAAUUAUUCCGAUAGUUCUCUUUAAUUCUAUCAUGCUCUUUUUUAUCUCAAGAGAUUAAAAUUUUAAGAUACAUAUAUAUAUAUAUAUAAUACUUAUCAAUUUGUAACUUUGUUUAUUAUAUUAGAUCAAUUCUCUAUAUAAUAUUCCAAAUCUUAUGUAAUCUUUUUGAGUCUUCUUAUAAUCAAAUUAUUAAGUUAGAAAAGUGAAAAACUUAAUGUGAGGGCCUGAAAGGUCAGAUCAAGCUGGUCCAUCGUGGUCAAAAUCAAAUUAUUGAAGCUGAGAUAAGCAAUGGCGUGAAAAGGUCAGAUCAAACUGGUCUAUCGUGGUCAAUAAUCAAAUUAUUGAAGCUGAGAUAAGCAAUGAAAAGGUCAGAUCAAACUGGUCUAUCGUGGUCAAUAAUCAAAUUAUUGAAGCUGAGAUAAGCAAUGGCUUGCUACAAUUACAAGAUUAAUAAUCGAUAUUUGAGAUCGAAUUUAAUUCAAAAUUUAAGAUUUAAAAUUUAAUACGAAUUUGAUUAAAUUUUAUUUUUUAAUUUAAAUUUAAUUUGAAAUAAAAAUUAAAUUAUUUAAAUUUAUUUAAUAAAUAAAAAUAAAUUUAAUUAUUUAUACUUCAAUUUAAAAUACUUUACUAAUUAUAAUAUAUUAAAUUAUAAAAUCUGAAUUAAACUCAUAAAUUAUUUGAAUUAAAUAUAAAAUUAUUUUAAUUUAAUUUAAUUAAUAAAUAAAUUAUUCAAAUUUAAAUUUAAUUUAAUAAUAAUCAAAUAAAAUUUAAAUUUUAUUUUAAUCAAAUUUAAAUAAUUUAUAAAUAUUAACGUAUCAUUCGUAUCUCAAACUGCAACUGCCGAAGAGCAAACAAUUUUUUCCAAAGUGAACUUUCAAGACAAGUGGAAUAAUUAAUAGCAUUCCUACACGACAAAUAGAUAGAUCAUCACUCCCUGUCCCACCAUCAGAUUAAGAUAGGGACAGCAAUAUUGAGAUUGAUUGAGAGAGAAAUUGCAAGUAACUAGGUUUGCGCUCCGCUGCACAAUGCAGCUUGCGUGAUAAUUUUUUUUAUUUAAAUAUUUUUAAUUUUAAGAUGUUUAUGUUUUAUUUUGAUUUCAUUCUUCAACAUACCGUUUGUUCUUUUAAAGUCAAUUUUUUCACUUCUCUUUUUCUUUUCUCCCUUUAAAAUUGAAGCUUCUCUAUCUAGGCGAUUUUUAAUUAUUGGAAACUGUGGUGUCAACUCCCGUCCACCGUCCGCAUCGGAGCCCUUUCAACCUAAAAUUUCAUCACAGAUUCUCCUCAAUUUCCUCACUAUUCAAGCACUGAUUUUUCAAAAUUAGUCCUUAAAAAUGUAGAUUUACAACCCAAGUCACGGCCUAAAAAUCUCCUGUAACACUUACACUCGCCACUCCAAAAAGCCCAUCUCUUACUAUUUUGUCCUUAUUCCUUGGCUUCCAAGGUAAUGAUGCUAGUUGUUGUAUUAUUAUUAUUUUUAUGUUAUGUUAUUUUAUUUUAUUUUUUGUUAAGUGGUAGAUUUUGAUUUUUUUUGGUUAGUGGUUGAGUUUUGGAUUAAUUGUUAGCUGAGUGUACAUACAUCGUUGGUGGAAGUUAAUGGUGGUGUGGGUAUGGAAGAUUUAGAUUUCAUAUUAAAAAUUUUGCACAUAUAUAUUUGAUCUACAAAGAAAAUUUGAAGAUCUAUUUUUUAUUUUUUUCUUACAUUUUAAAUUUUUUAGUAAUUAUAUUUUAGGGUAUUUUAUUUUAAUUAAAAAGGUAUAAUAGUUUUUUUAUUUAUUGAAAAAGUGUCAAAUGAGUUAGUUUUAAUAUAUAAUAUAAAUUUUUUAAUGUUCAAAUUAUUCAAAAGUAAUUGAGAUUUGAACUUUAACAAUAUUUAUAUUUUAUAAAAUUAUCUAAAAAAUUCUUGUAAUCCUUUCUAAAAGAUGAUUUUCGACAAAUUUAAAGUUUAUAAUUUAGCAUAUGCAUUUUUUUUCAUUCAUAUUACUUUUAGAUUGCGAUCUCAUUUAUAUAAAAAAUUAAUUUUAUUAUAAAAAUAAAAUUAUGUAAAAUUUGAAGUAAAAUUAUUUCCAUCCGAAUCUUAUAUAACAAUUUCAUUUUUUAUUAUUUAAUAUUAUAAUAUCUAAAUUUAUUUAAAUAUCUAUUUAAAUUUAGUAUCACUAACUAAAUUUAAAUCUAUUUAAAUAAAUAUUAUUCAUUUAAAUAUUUGAAUAUGUUAAAAUAUUUAUUUAUUUAAAUUUUUUAUCAAGGUAUAAAAUAAACAAGAAUUAAAAUUAAAAUUAAAAUUCACUCUUAACUAAUAACGAGUAAAAGUUAUUUAUUAAGGUUGAAAACUUCAUAAAUAUAAAAUUUUAUAUAUUUUACAUACGAAAAUGAAUAAUGGAUUCAAAUAUCUAUUAUUAUUUAUUAAAAUCUAAAUUGAUUCAGAUAUUGAAUACUUAGAUAAAUUAUUUAUAUACUAUCCGAAUUUGUCAUGGAUAAUAAAUUUUCUAUCCGAAUUCAUUAAUUAUUUAUUUUCAAUUAUCCAAAUCUAACAUAAACUAAUUGCGUAAUAACAGAUUUAUUUAGUAUUUAUUACAAACUCCAUUUUCCAGACAUUUUUAAUAAGUGUCUAUAUGCUGAAUACAGUGCUGGCACGUCACUUUUCCUUCCUUUGCCUAUAAAUUAAAGAGUAAUGACAAACUUAUUACCUGUACUAAAUGCGAGGGAACUCAUAGUAUUGAGCACAUACAUUCUAUAAAGCAAACAAGGAUGGAAGGCCGAGGUCUAAGAGGAGGAUGCACCGCCCAAGCUCCUCUUCACACGUUUGAACCCCUGCAGCGGACGGCCUUGAACCGCGUAUUUGCGGUGGUUUACUCGUGUGCAAUUAUUGCUCUACUCUAUCGCCAUACGCAGAUACUUCUCUACUCCACAACCUUACUCUCUUUCUCUAUGACACUGUCUUUGCUCAUCUCAGAUCUUGUCCUUGCCUUCAUGUGGGCGUGCGGACAAGCUUUUCGAAUGCGCCCAAUUCGUCGUAAAGAGUUCGCUGAAAACCUCAAAGGAAUCAUGAAAGAAGAAGAUUUUCCAGGGCUGGACGUGUUCAUAUGCACGGCUGAUCCUCACAAGGAGCCACCAAUGAAUGUGGUGAACACAGCCCUCUCGUUGAUGGCUUAUGAUUAUCCAAAAGAGAAGCUUUCCGUCUAUGUAUCAGAUGAUGGAGGGUCAGCUUUGACUCUCUUUGCUUUCAUGGAGGCUGCUAAGUUUGCAUGUCAUUGGUUACCAUUUUGCAGGGAGCACAAUAUAAUGGAUAGGAGCCCUCAAGUAUAUUUUGCGUCUAAUUAUCAUUCUUGGAGCCCAGAGAUUGAGGAGAUUAAGGUAAUUAAUAUACUCAAACACUUGCUAAUUCUAUCUCAAAAACUUUAAUUGACUGACUUUCCAUGCCUAAUUUUGUACAAAAUUAUAUUGAUAAAGUAAUUUAAUUUUGGGUGUUCACUAUUACUUAUGUCUAACAAUAACAGUAGAUAUGCCAGUAAGUUUUCAUAUACAAUGGUAGAUCUAGAUUUUUUUUUUUUUUUUGUGUCCACUCUUUACGGUGAGUGUUUGUUGAAUGUUGGAUAUUGGUUGGCUGUGAGCUAUAAUUGAGUAUUGAGUAGUAACAGUAAAUAGAAUGGUUAAAGGAUUUAAAAAAGAUAUAUUAUAAUUUUUAAGAGUAUUAAAAAAAGUUUUCAAUUCUUUUUUAAUUUUUAAAACUUUGUGAAUCUCCAUAAACACUUUUAAUUUUAUAUUUGCAACUACCGCUAUUUUCGUAUAUCCAAAUUAAAUUCCUGCAUGGACAAAAAAAAAAAAGGUAAAGUUGAUUUUUAAAUCAAAUCUAAUUUUAUAAUCAUCAUGAUCAUAAUUAAUGCAUCAUUAAUCUCAAAAAGUGCUAAAUAUAGUCCACAAUAAAUAUUGAAAGAAAGAAAUUAAAGAAAUAUAUAAUAAUAAAGGGGUACAUGGAAUCUACGUACCAUAAAUAUUGAGAAAAGGAAAUUAAAGAAAUAUAUAAUUAAGGGUGGAUGGAAUCUAGGAGCUGACUCGUGAGAUAAACUAGAAGAUUAUAUAUACUAGGAGCCAAUGGUCGGUCCUAAUCUAAAAUAAUUAAAAUUACAUUUAAAACAAAUUAAACUCCCUCAGUUUCAUUUUGUUUGGGUGAUUGAUUUUCGUGAAAUUAAAAAAAAAAAAAAGAGUUUUGAUUUUAGACUAUUUAAUAUUAAAAUUAAAAUUAUAAAAUCAAAGUUUUAUGAUUUUAAAUGUCAAAAACUAAAAAAGAAUAUAAAAAGUAAGAGUUUAGAUAUUCAAAAAAGAAAAGAAAUUAUAAUUUUGAGACAUCUAAAGAAAAUGAAUAAAGAAAAUUGAAACGAAGAAAUAUGUGAUAUUGAUUAAUAUGAGCUUAUAUAAAAUAAUAUAACUGAUUAUAAUUUAUAUAUUAAAAAAUUAAUGAUGAAAAUUACUAGUAUUCAUCAUUAUGUAUAUAAAAAAAAAAAAUCAAAGAUGAAGUUAUAAGUUAUAGCAAUUUAUUAACAGAUAAAAUAUAUUAAACUCUUAAUUUGAAUAUAAUUGAGAGAUUAAAAAAGGAUCAUGUCUUAACCUAUGUUUCUAGGCAUUAUUAAGUAAGCAUUCUUAGACAUUUAUAUGUUCAGUUAACUUAAGAAAAAUAAGAAAAACUAUAUUAGCAGUUAAAAUUAAAUAUUUAUUUUUGAUAAAAGAGAAGGCAAUUAAAAAUAAAAAAAGUUACAUAUAUCAAAAUAUAAAUUUGAAAUUUAUUAAAUGUUAAUUUUUAAAGGUUUAUGUAUGAAUCAAUUUUUUAAUCUCGAAGUUCAAACCAAUCAAAUAUUUGUGUUAAUUUUAUAUGUAUAUACAUUUUGUUUCUGUAAAAGUUGAGUUUUAAUUUUUUUUUUCAAAAAAAAAAAUGUUGCAUCUUACAGCUUUUCUCUGACAUGUUUGAACAUUGGACCACAUAUGAAAUAAUUUUCGAUGUGUCAGUCAAUUAAUUAGGGCAGAUUCAGACAAAGAACCCCAACAACCGAUUUUGUCAUUUAGGCCGCAUCAUUUUGGUUUUGUCAAACCUUCAAAUUAAAGAUUAGGAUUAGUACUAAUCCAUAUGUCUAAAUCAUGUCUAGACUGUUGACUUGUGCAUGGAUCCAAACGACUUAUUUCAACUAUACAAAUAUAUAAUAUAUUACUUUUCUUUAUUUGGGGGGUAAUAUAUAUAUAUAUAUAUUAUUUUCAUGCACCUAAAUGUAUCAAAUGUAAAUAGAUGCUUAUAAGAUAUAAUUUGGAAGUUUUUUUUAUUAUUAGUAAUUUAGUUUAUCUUAUGCUUUUCUCGAAGAAAAGAACCUCUAUAGCUUGCUUGUGCUGGCACUGCCAUGUAUCAAGUCCUAGCUAGAUUUAGCUGGACAAAAUUUAUAUGAAAUUUUUUAAAUAAAAUUUAUAAAUUUUUUUAAGUGAUUUAAUAAAAAUUUUAAUAAAAAAUUUAGAUGGAUAGAAUUUAAUGUGAAAAAUAAUAAUAUAUUAAAAAUAUUAUUUAUACUUCAAAUUUAAUUGAUACUUAUUUUAUGGUAAAAAUUUUAUCAAUAUUUUUAUUAAAAAUAUCUAUUUAAAAAUAUAUAUAAAAAAUUAUUUAAAAAAUUUUUAAAUUUACAUAUUUAAUUUAUACAACAAGAUUAUUCAAUUUAUCAAUUUUAAUUUUAAUUUAAUAAGUUUUAAUAAUAAACUUCAAGAAUUUUAUCUAAAAAAUUUUAUUUAAAUAUUUCUUUAUGUUGAUCCAUUUAUUGUUUUGGCUUUGCUCAUGGCAUAGUUUAGUUUUUGCGAUUUCGGCUGCAAGUCCCUUUUUUUUUUUGCCACUAAGUCCCUGGUAGUUUUUUUUUGGCCAAUUAAGUCCCUUGUAGUUGAAUAAGGCUUUUUAUUAUUUUCUCCUUUUUUAUUUCAAAAGGAAAAUUAAAUUAAAAUUAAAAUAUUUAGACACUUUAAGGAUAUGUUUGAUAAAUAGAAUGAUGAAGCCCAUAAAAUGAUUAUCUCAUUAUCUUAUUGUUGAUGCACACAUAAAAAAAUUAAAUUCUCUUUUCCAAAUCAUAAAAAUAAUUGCAUUAUUAUAUUGCUAUAAUAUAAAUAAUGAUUAUUUUUUUGAAUCUUGUAUUAUUUCGAUCACAAAACCUUAUGGUAUGUGUUUAAAUAUUUAGAUUUUUUUUAAAGUCAAAGUGCAAUAUAUAUUAUUGUAAUAAAUUAGAUUUUGAUAAUUUAAAAUACGAUAUUAAUAUAAUAUAAAAAAAUACAAAACAUAUAUGAUUUAAGAUUUUAAUAAUAAUUAUAUUUAGAUUUAAUAAAAUCAAAAAAUAUAUUUUAUAUUUUUAUAACAAUACAAAUUAUGGCAUAUAAUUUUUAUAUAAAAUAUAAUAUAAAUACAUAAAUUUUAAUAACUAAAUUUAUAACAGUUGAGAAAAAGCUAAAAUAAUUAUAUUUCGUCGCUCAUAUCCUAUUUUGUAGGAAUGAUAACGAAUCAAAUCAGAUUUGGUUCAAUUUUUAAUUUAAUAUAUAAAUAUUUAGUAUUUAAAUUUAAUUUAAACCAAAUAAAAAAAAUUCAAAACAAAUUAAACACUAUAACUUUAAAUUUAUUGAAUUUUUUCCUCACCCUGAAUGUCUUUGUCUUGCCCAUUUUCUAGUACCCUUCAAAGGAGCAUCUAUCCUCAUAAUGUCUACACCACUGAUUAGUGCAAGUGGCCAAGUUGGUUGAGGGAUACUUUCUUUGCUUUUCUUUUCCCAACUUUAUUGUUCAAACAUUUCCAACUAAAUAAUUUAGGAAGUCAUUAAGAAGAUAUCAAAUUAUAUAAAUAUAAUACUUAUAUAUAUAUAUAUAUAUACACAAAACAAUAGUACCAUUUUCAUUCUAAGUUGGGAUUUUUUAAUAUAAAAAAUUCUAUACGCCACUUUAUUACAAAUUAUUACUUAAAUCACCAUGUGAUUAAUGGCACCUGCCCUGAAUAGCUGGUACAAAACCUCUUAAAUUUCACCCUUACUGCCCACUUCUAAAGAGAAAUUCACCCUUCGACUGCCCAUUGCCAUCAUCACUAGCCACACAAGUAAUGGAGGUUCUAAGUCGGAGAGAGCACUACACCACCCCCCUGGCACCCAUCGAUACUCCUCUUCACACCGUGGAACGCCUCCCACGCACGGCCGUGAACCGCGUCUUUUUGGUAGUUUACACUUGCGCCAUCCUAGCUCUACUCUACCGCCAUGCACAAACACUUGUCAAUUCCACAGCCUUAGUCUCUUUAUUUAUAACCCUCUCUUUGCUUGUCUCUGAUCUCAUUCUUGCCUUCAUGUGGGGAACUUCACAAGCUUUUCGCAUGUACCCAAUUCAUCGUAAGCAAUUCCCAGAGAACCUGAAAAAGAACGUGACGGAGCAAGAUUUUCCAGGGUUGGACGUGUUCAUAUGCACGGCUGACCCUUACAAGGAGCCGCCAAUGAGUGUGGUGAACACGGCUUUGUCCUUGAUGGCUUAUGAUUAUCCCAACGGAGAAGAUUUCGGUGUAUGUAUCGGACGAUGGAGGAUCAGCUUUGACACUCUUUGCUUUCAUGGAGGCUGCUAAGUUUGCUAGUUACUGGUUACCAUUUUGCAGGGAGAAUAACAUUAUGGAUAGAAGCCCGGAUGUUUAUUUUUCAUCAGCUCAUUCUUGGAGCUCUAAGGCUCACAAGAUUAAGGUAAAUCCACUUUUAAAGUUAAAUUCUAAAAGAAUGAUAGUCAAUUAACAUUUUUAAUUGCAUUUAACUCCAAAUUUUGUAUGUAUAAUUAAUUUCAACGAUCAAAAUUUCAAACAACAUGACUAUAAAAAAAACUUCAUUACCGGAAAAAUAAAUUCACUAGAGAUAAGGGCAAGAGUGCUGCAGCAACAAAGAGAAGAUUUCUUGUCGGAAGUAUAUAAGGCGACAAGAAAAGUUAUGUCAUCAUUGAUCUCAGCUUGGCUGUUGUUGUGGUAUGUACAAUGUCUAAACAAUGAUAGCAAAUCCUUCAUGAUAAAAAAAAAAAAACAAAAACAAAAAAGCAAAUCCUUCCCAUCUUUAUUUUUGUCCCAUGUUCCAUGGAAUGGGAUAUCUUUUAAAGUUCCCAAAAACAUGAAAUUAAUUAUCACUUCUUGUCUUAUGGAUAUCUUCUUUUUUUUUUUUUCGUCUAAAGGUCAAAUUACAUGAACGAAUGGUCAAAUUAGAUAUUGAUGUUAAGUCGUGUUUAGUGUGUGUAUAUAUAUAUAUAUAUAUCUUAUUCAAAAUUUAGUUCAAUUAAUUUGUACAAUUACUUUUAAAAUAUGUCAUCUAAUAAGUUGAGUUCAAAUAUCGAUAUUUACUGUUCUUAUUCUUAUUUUCAGGUUAUACCUCUUUUAUAUAUAAAAAAAAAAUUUAUUGAAAACUAUAUAUAGAUAUAUAUAUGACAUAUUUUAAAUGUGAUUGUAUAAAUUAAUUGAGCUAAAUUUUGAAAAAGAUAUAAUAAGGAUAAAAUUAAUGAGUAAACUCACUCAAAGGUCAAGCUACCUAUUCAAGGGUUAAGUUAUUCGCCUGAGUUCAAAAGCUUAUUAAGUUAAUUUUAAGAGGGUUUUGACAAAGAAUUAAGAUUUAUUAAAUGGAUUUGAACAAAAAUUUUAAGCUUUUUUAAAUUUUGAGUCAGGUUUCAAACACAAAAAUUAAAAUUUGAGCUUGGCUUAAUGCAGCUUGCCUAAUAUAAAUAUAAUUAAAUUAUUAUAAUUAUGUAUGUGUAAAUUUUUAUUUUAAUGUUUUAUUUUUUAUUAUAUAAAUUAGAUUUAAUAGGUGAGUUUAUAUUUUAUUUUUAUAGCAUGGACUGAAUUUGAAAAAAAUUUUAAGCCUAAAAUAUCAAGGCAAAUCAAAUAUAAAUAAAUAUAUAAAUUAUUAAUUCCAAAUACGGAUCCAACCUGAUCAAUUAAUACAUCUAUCCCUAAAUUGUUUUCAUAUUAUGUUACAUGCAUAUGCACCAAAUUUCUCAUCAUGUUUUGUUUUAUUAUCAACAUAUGGCUUCAUGGUCAUGAUAAAAUCAAUUUUUUAAGCUGCUAACUCUUAGUAAAAUUUUCAAUUUCCCAAAAAUUUAAAAUAUACAACAUGCAAGUCAAAUACUUCAUAUAUUGAUUCCUAAAUGGUUCAAAUUUUUAAACUUGUUAAAUGAAAUAUCGGUUCAUUGAAGUUCUUUCUUAUUUAAAAAAAAAGUUUCAAUUUUAAAAUUUCAUGAGAUAUUCGUUUAUAAGAUAGUAGAAAUAACAUUUGGAUCUUAAAUCUUAAUCAUGUGCCAGGAAAUAUACGAGAACAUGAAGGUAAGAGUAGGAAAUGUUGUCAACAGAGGAGAAGUUAGUGAAAUUUACAUCAACAAUGAUCAAGAACGUGAAGCUUUUGACAAAUGGAGAGGCGCAUUUACCCCCCAAGAUCACCCUACUGUCAUUCAGGCUUGCAUUCAGCCUUUAAUCUUCCAUAUUUUCGUAACUCAAAAUCUUGUAAGAGCUUGUUAAUUUCCCCUUUCUUGUACACUUAUAUGAGCAGGUUCUAUUAGAUAACAGCACCGACAAAGACAUCACUGGCCACUGCCUGCCAAAUCUCAUUUAUGUCUCCAGACAGAAAAGUAAGACCUCACCCCACCAUUUUAAAGCUGGUGCUCUAAAUGUUCUGGUAUGGUAUACUGAUCAUCUUACAAUAUUUCCAAUCAACAAUUAUCUCAUUCUUAUACAUUUUUUAUCCUAACAUUUUCCUUGUUUUUGGAUAUUGCAGCUUCGUGUAUCAACUAUCAUGACCAAUGCCCCAAUAUUCUUAACCCAAGACUGUGACAUGUAUUCAAAUGACCCCCAAACACCUCUGAGGGUGCUAUGUUAUAUAUGUGACCCUGCAAUUGAACGAACUUUGGGGUUUGUGCAAUUUCCUCAGCGCUCUCGUGGCAUAAACAGAGAUGACACCUAUGGAUGCGAGUACAAACAUCUAGGCGAGAUACAUCCUAUGGGCUUUGAUGGUCUUAGGGGCCCAGAUUAUUGUGGAACUGGAACCUUUUUCCUUCGGCAAGCUCUCUUUGGUGAUCCAUCAACUUCUGUAAAAUCAGAAAUCCUUGAACUCAGCCCUGACCGUAUUAAGAACAAACCUAUUAAAUCUCCGGACAUUUUAGCUUUAGCACAUCAUGUAGCAAGCUGCAAUUAUGAAAAUCAGAACAAAUGGGGAUACAAGGUAAGCUAACCAUUUUCGCUAUUUGAAAAUUCAGCAGCGCCCUAAGCUCUUUCCUCCACCCAAACAUUGAUCUUAGUGAUGGAAAAAAAAAACUUGCAGAUGGGGUUUAGAUAUGGAUCAUUGGUUGAGGACUUCUACACAGGUUACCGGUUGCAAUGUGACGGAUGGAGGUCCAUAUUUUGCAAUCCUAAAAGGGCUGCAUUUCUAGGGAAUGCACCAAUCAACUUCGUUGAUGUACUGAGUCAAUGCAAGCGAUGGGCCAUCGGCCUACUUGAAACUGCCUCGUCCAAAUAUUCUCCCAUAACCUUUGGGACCAAAUCUAUGGGUCUCCUCAUGGGCCUAGGCUAUUCUUACUAUGCAUUCUGGCCCAUUUUGUCCAUUCCAGUGACCGUCUAUGCCUUCCUCCCUCAACUAGUUCUCGUCAGUGGAGUCUCCGUCUUUCCAGAGGUAUGUAUCGGCAUUCAUUGUAGCUGUAGUUGCUCUCUCUCUCUCUCUCUCUCCCUCAUGUUAAAUGGAUUAUAACAUGAAUGCUAUUGAUUCAAAAUUUUCGAAAGUUGAAUAUUAUUCAAUGCUUGCACUUAUGGUAAAGAAAAAAAUGUUGCAGAUAACCGAACCAUGGUUUCUCUUGUACUUGUUUCUUGUCCUCGGUGCUUAUGGACAAGACUUCCUUGAAUAUGUUCUGGAGGGAGCAACUUUCCGAAAGUGGUGGAACGCCCAGAGGAUGUGGAUGAUCAGGAGCCUUUCGAGUUUCUCGUUUGGUACAGCAGAGUACUUUCUUAAGUCCAUAGGCCUGUCUACUUGUGGUUUCAAUGUGACCAACAAAGUGGUCGAUGAUGAACAAAACAAAAGAUAUUCCCAAGGGAUCUUUGAGUUUGGAGUCCCAUCCCCAUUGUUUGUGCCACUCACAAUGGCAGCAAUAAUCAACUUAUUUUCAUUCAUCUGGGGAACAAUUUUAGUUUUCGGUGGCAGCAACGAGGAAGGCCUGCUUUUGCAGAUGUUACUAGCAGGGUGCAUUUUUGUGAAUUUCUUCCCAAUUUAUGAAGCAAUUGCCUUGAGGAAUGACAAAGGAAAAUUGCCUACCAAGAUUACCAUCAUUGCGACACUUCUGGCGGGGGCUCUUUAUACUGCAACUUCUUUUAUUUUCAAGCGAUAAAAAUACUUAGGGGCCUUUGCCUUUUUGCUUCUCCUUUCAAUAUUUUCUCUGACUGAAAUGAAAUUUUUAGUUUUAUAUGGCAAUUAUUGGGCAGCAGGCAGCUACAGAAAUGGCUUAUAUAUUUUCUGGGGAAUUGGCACUUCAAACGGUAUGAGCAGGGGCGGCGAAACACAAUGCAUGGUUCAUUGACGCACAUUGACUGUAAAUAACAACCAUAAAGGAACUACUUUUCUCUGUCAAUAUGCUGAAAGUAUCUUAUACGCAUAAAUUCCACCUGGCUAUAACUUUCUUCAAGCUCUCUCCUAAUCGCAAAUAGAGCUACAAGCUCAGUCAUCCUCGUCACCCCAUGAUUAUAUAUAUACCACUCUUGCACAUUGCCACGUGCAAGUUUGGAUGGGAAUAACGCAUGCCUUCGAGCACCUCCAACAGCCAAUCUAUCAAAAUGUGCAAAUCAGAUUGAUCAAGCUUGCUCGAUAUGCCCUCCAAUCAAUUAUAAAAUUCCCUCUAAACGUUUUUCCUUGGUUCAGCAAUUGCAUAUGUACUUUCUAUUGUCAUUGAUCCAUAAAAUUUUGCAAAAAGAAAGCAAACUCCAAUAUUUAAGGAACGAAAAAGAUCCAUAUUAAAUCACAAAGUUGAUAGGGCUCUUCCUUUCCUAAUCAUCUUCAUCUCAAAGAUACAGAAAACAUACAUACUAAACUAAUACUUCCUCUUCCUGAUCUUGAAGCUGGAGAAUCGAAUAACAUCAUCAUCUGUAUUCAGCGCCACCUCAAGAGCUGCCAUUGAUUCCGGUUUCGUAAAGUAGGUAAAGAGGAGGUAAAUGCCAUCCGAGUAAGUGUUGGUUUCCCCAUCUUUAUUUUUCUUCUUGAUGCUGUAGGCUAGUGGGAUGACCCCUCUGUUAAAUACCUCAACAUACAUGCCACCCCCAGCGACAAGAAGCUGCAAGACGAACCCCAUCAGGAAAAGGAUUUGAAUAAACUUGCAAUAACAUGUCAUCAACCCUUUCCAAUUCACCCAAGAGUUCAGACUAUUUUAUUAAAUGCCAUGUUUUCAAAACCAAUCUUCAAUAGAUAAAAUGAAAUUAAAAGCAAAAACUUUGCAAAAAUGUACCAAAUACCAUACAAUUCUCAAUCCCGAAAUGAAAAAAAAAAAAAAAAAUCCCUAAAUUACGUUAGCAACCAAACUGAGAAUUUACAAAUUACAACAAAAGAAAAUUAAAAAAAAAAAGAGAGUUAUUUUACAAAACAUUACCUCCUCGUACUUCUGGGUAAGAGCGAGCCUGUCGUCUUCCGACAUGUCGGGUCUCAAAACUGCCAUUGUCUCGUACUGUCGGAGUCCCGGUGGGCACUGGGGUUCCUCUUUAUCUUCCAAGGCGGUUAUGCCAGGCCCGGGUUGGGACGGAGGGUCAUCGUCCGAACCAAACUCGUCCGACUCAAAGAAUGAACCAGAGAAGUCGAAGGUCUGGGCUUUCACGGCUAAGGUUGUGUGAUUGUUUCUUUUAAGGGAAGUCAGAGACCUUGGCUUUAACUGGAUUGGUUUGAGGCUCUGAGUGAAUGAGAGAAGAGGCACAGGUGGGAAUUGGGCGAGAUGGUGGGUGCAAAACAGGGAUUUGGUUAGAGAUGAGGGUUUUGUAAGCCCAGCUGAGGCUUACUGAUGAGUUAAAGAAGAAUGGAGGGUAGGCGCAUCCGGGGCAGUGGUGGCGUCUACGCCUUUAUGUUUGGUUGGGCUUGGUCCUAUUGGGCUAUUAUCUUUUUUCAUACCCAUUGCUUUGGUUUAUUAAUGGAGGAAAAAAAUAAAGUGCAGUUUAGGGGCACCUUAAACAUUUCUGCUUAAUUUUUAAUCAACACUACAAUUUUCUUUUAAUAUUUAAAAUCGUCAGAAUUUUAAUUAUAAUUAUUAAAAGUAACAAUUUAAAAUGACUGUUGGUUACGGUCAACAAAUUAAAGUACCUAUAUCGAAUAUUCAACUUCAUUUAAUAAUGAAUGCCUUAUAAAAAAAAUAAUAAUAAUACUGAUAUAAUGGAUACAGGACGCUUUAGGAAAAGAAAGAAAAUGAAAUGAUUGAGUUUGGUUUCGAAAAAUAAAAUUAUUUUUUUAUAUUUUUAAGAAAAUGAAAAAUAUAAUUGAAAACGUGAUAAUUGAAAUUAAAAACAAAUUUUUAAAAAACAGAAAUGAAAAUAAAUUGAAAUGUAAAAACAAAAAAUAUAUAUCUUUAUUUGUGAAAACAAAAUAUAUACAUUACCUUUUUAAUAUCAUUAAUUAAUAAAUAUAUAUUAUUUUUAUAAUUAAAUGAAAUUAAUAAUAAUAUUGUUAAAUAUUUUAUUUAUUUAUUUAUUUUUACAUUUUAAAAAACAAUUUUUAUUUUAAAUCAAACGGAGCCUAUCAAUAACGAAUAUUAUAUAUGGUGACUGUACAUACUUGGUGGUAGUUAAUGGUGGUGUGGGUAUAGAUGAUGUAGAUUUCAUAUUAAAAAAUUUGCACGUACAUAUUUGAUCUACAAAGAAAAUUUGAAGAUCUAUUUUUUUAUUUUUUUUGUUUUCUUACAUUUUAAAUUUUUUAUUAAUUAUAUUUUAGGGUAUUUUAUUUUAAUUAAAAGGGUGUAAUAGUUGUUUUCUUUAUUGAACAAAGUGUCGAAUGAGUUAGUUUUAAUAUAUAAUAUAAAUUUUUGAAUGUUCAAAUUAUUCAAAAGUAAUUGAGAUUUGAACUUUAACAAUAUUUAUAUUUUAUAAAAUUAUCUAAAGAAUUUAUGUAAUCCAUUUUAAAAGAUGACUUUUGAUAAAUUUAAAGUUUAAAAUUUAAUAUAUGCAACUUUUUUUUUCAUUCAUAUUAUUUUUAGAUUGUUGUCUCAUUUAUAUAAAAAUUUUAAUUUUAUUAUAAAAAAAAGAAAAUUAUAAAAAAUUUGAAGUGAAAUUAUUUCCAUCCGAAUCUCAUGUAACAAUUCCAUUUUUCAUUGUGAAUGGUAGUAAAGCGAAUAUCCAUUAUUUUAAAAGUAUUUAUAUUUGAAUUCAUUUAAUAUUUAUAAUAUUUAAUUUUGUUUAAAUAUCUGUUUAAAUUUAGUAUUACUAUCCCAGUUUAAAUUUAUUUAAAUAAAUACUAUUCAUUUAAAUAUUUGAAUAUGAUAAAAUAUUUGUUUAUUUAAUUUUUUUAUAAAAAUAUAAAAUAAAUAAGAAUUAAAAUUAAAAUUCAAGUUCACUCUUAAUUAGUAAUAAGUAAAAGUUAUUUAUUAAAGUUAAAAACUUUCACAAGUAUAAAAUUUUAUAUAUUUUACAUAUGAAAAUAGAUAACGGAUUUCAAUAUCUAUUAUUAUUUAUUAAAAUAUAAACAGAUUCGGAUAUUGAAUAUUUAGAGGAUAUUAUUUAUAAACUAUUUGAAUUUGUCACGUAUAAUAAAUUUUUUAUCCAAAUUUAUUAAUUAUUUAUUUACAAUUGUCCAAAUCUGACAUAAAAUAGUUGAAUAAUUAUAUAUAUCCAUUUAUUUACUGUUUAUUACAAACUCCAUUUUCCAUACAUUUUUAAUAAGUGUAUCUAUAUGCUGAAUACAGUGCUGGUACCUCACUCUUCCUCCCUUUGCCCAUAAAUUAAUGAGUAAUGACAAACUUAUUACCUGUACUAAAUGCAAGAGAACUCAUAGUGUUGAGCACAUACAUUCCAUAAAGCAAACGAGGAUGGAAGGCCGAGGUCUAAGAGGAGGAUGCACCGCCCAUGCUCCUCUUCACACGUUUGAACCCCUGCGGCGGACGGCCUUGAACCGCGUAUUUGCAGUGGUUUACUCGUGUGCAAUUAUAGCUCUAGUCUAUCGCCAUGCACAGAUACUUCUCUACUCCACAACCUUACUCUCUUUCUCUAUGACACUCUCUUUGCUCAUCUCAGAUCUUGUCCUUGCCUUCAUGUGGGCAUGCGGACAAGCUUUUCGAAUGCGCCCAAUUCGUUGUAAAGAGUUCCCUGAAAACCUCAAAAGAAUCAUGAAAGAAGAAGAUUUUCCAGGGCUGGACGUGUUCAUAUGCACGGCUGAUCCUCACAAGGAGCCACCAAUGAAUGUGGUGAACACAGCCCUCUCGUUGAUGGCUUAUAAUUAUCCAACAGAGAAGCUUUCCGUCUAUGUAUCAGAUGAUGGAGGGUCAGCUUUGACUCUCUUUGCUUUCAUGGAGGCUGCUAAGUUUGCAUGUCAUUGGUUACCAUUUUUCAGGAAGCACAAUAUAAUGGAUAGGAGCCCUCAAGUGUAUUUUGCGUCUAAUUAUCAUUCUUGGAGCCCAGAGAUUGAGGAGAUUAAGGUAAUUAAUACACUCAAACACUUGCUAAUUCUAUCUCAAAACUUUAAUUGACUAAUUGUCCAUGCUAAUUUUUGUGCAAAUUAUAUUAAUAAAGUAAUUAAUUUUGGGUGUGCAAAUUAAAUUCCUGCAUGGACAAGAAAAAAAAAAGGUCAAGUUGAUUUUUAAAUCAAAUCUAAUUUAUAAUCACCAUGAUCAUAAUUAAUGCAUCAUUACUUUCAAAAAAUGCUAAUAUAGUCCACAAUAGAUAUUGAAAGAAGGAAAUUAAAGAAAUAUAUAACAAAGGGGCAGAUGGAAUCUACGUACCCAUAAAUAUUGAAAAAAGGAAAUUAAAGAAAUAUAUAAUAAAGGGGUGGUGGAAUCUAGGAACUGACUGGUGAGAUAAACUAGAAGAUUAUUUAUAAUAUGAGCCAAUGGUCGGUGCUAAUCUAAAAUAAUUAAACUUACAUUUAAAACAAAUUAAACUCCCUCAGUUUCAAUUUGUUUGGGUGAUUGAUUUUCAUAAAAUAAAAAUAAAAAAGUUUUGAUUUUAGUCUUUUAUAUUAAAAUUAAAAUUAUAAAUUAAAGUUUUAUGAUUUAAAACGUCAAAACUAAAAAAGAAUAUAAAAAAUAUAAUUUAAAUAUAAAAAGUAAGAGUUUAGAUUUCAAAAAAGAAAGAAAUAUAAUUUGAGACAUAAAGAAGAUGUGAAUAAGAAAAUGAAAAGAGAAAGAAAUAGUAUAUAUUAAUAUGAGCGUAUAUAAAAUAAUAUAAUUUAUUAUAAUUUAUAUAUUAAAAAAAUUAAUGAUGAAAAUUACUAGUAUUUAUCAAUAUAUAUAUAUAUAUAUUAAACUCUUAAUUUGAAUUUAAUUGAGAGAUAAAAAAAGGAUUAUGUCUUAACCUAUGUUUCUAGGCAUUAUUAAGUAAGCAUUCUUAGACAUAUUUAUGUUAACUUAACUUAAGAAAAAUAAGAAAAAUUAUAUUAGCAGUUAAAAUUAAAUAUUUAUUUUUGAUAAAAAAGAACGCAAUUAAAAAUAAAAAAAUUACAAAUAUUAAAAUAUAAAUUUAAAAUUCAUUGAUUGUUAAUUUUGAAAAAUUUACGUAUGAAUCAAUUUUUUAAUCUCGAGGUUCAAAGUAAUCAAAUAUUUGUUGGUAUUUGUGUUAAUUUUUAUAUGUAUAUAUUUUAUUUCUUUAAAAGUUGAGUUUUAAUUUUCUUUUUUCAAAAAAAAAAAAUUGUUGCAUCUUGCAGGCUGCAGCUUAUCUCUGACAUAUUUGAACAUUGGACCACAUAUGAAAUAAUUUUCGUUAUGUCAGUCAAUUAAUUAGGGCAGAUUCAGAAAAAGAACCCCUACAACCAAUUUUAUCAUUUAGACCACAUCAUUUUGGUUUAGCCAAUCCUUCAAAUUAAAGAUUAGGAUUAGUACUAAUCCAUAUGUGUAAAUCAUGUCUAGACUGUUAACUUGUGCGUGGAUCCAAACAACUCAUUUCAACUAUACAAAUAUAUUAUUAGUAAUUUAGUUUAUUUUAUGCUUUUCUUGAAGAAGAGAACAUCUAUAGCUUGCUUGUGCUGGCAAUGCCAUAUAUCAAGUCAUAGCUAGAUUUAGAUGGACAAAAUUUACAUGAAAUUUUUUAAGUGAAAUUUGUAAUUUUUUUUAAAAUAUCAUUUAAUAAAAAUUUCAAUAAAAAAUUUAAAUUGAUAGAUUGAUAAGUUUAAUAUGAAACUUAAUAAUAUGUAAAAACUUAUUAAAAAUAUUAUUUAUAGUUCAAAUUUGAUUUAAAAAUUUUUAUAGUAAAAUUUAUCAAUAUUUUUAUUAAAAUAUAUAUAUGAUUAUUAAUUUUUUUUUCAAAAUUUUACUAUUUAACUUAUAUAACAAAUUUUUUAAUUUAUCAAUUUUAAAUUUAAUAAUUUUAAUAAUAAACUUCACCAUCUUUAUCUAAAAAACCUUUAUUUAAAUAUUCUCCAGUCUAGUUAUGUUGGAUGCCGCUUCAUUGUUUUUGGGCUUCUCACAUGGCAUAUUUAUUUUUUUUUGUUUCUCAAGGGGGGAUAGAGCUCUACAUUAAAGGAAAAGGGAAAAGAUUGGAGUUUGAAUUCCAACUUUGAUAUCUUUUUUAAGAUUAUUUUGACCCAUAAAACAAACAGUUAAAGACCAUGUGUCAUAAUUUAGCUUUUGCCAUUUCGGUUGCACGCCCCUACUUUUUUUUUGCCACGAAGUCCCUAAUAGUUUUUUGGCCAAUUAAGUCCCUUGUAGUUGAAUAAGCCUUUUUUAUCAUUUUCUCUUUUUUUUAUAAAANNNNNNNNNNNNNNNNNNNNNNNNNNNNNNNNNNNNNNNNNNNNNNNNNNNNNNNNNNNNNNNNNNNNNNNNNNNNNNNNNNNNNNNNNNNNNNNNNNNNNNNNNNNNNNNNNNNNNNNNNNNNNNNNNNNNNNNNNNNNNNNNNNNNNNNNNNNNNNNNNNNNNNNNNNNNNNNNNNNNNNNNNNNNNNNNNNNNNNNNNNNNNNNNNNNNNNNNNNNNNNNNNNNNNNNNNNNNNNNNNNNNNNNNNNNNNNNNNNNNNNNNNNNNNNNNNNNNNNNNNNNNNNNNNNNNNNNNNNNNNNNNNNNNNNNNNNNNNNNNNNNNNNNNNNNNNNNNNNNNNNNNNNNNNNNNNNNNNNNNNNNNNNNNNNNNNNNNNNNNNNNNNNNNNNNNNNNNNNNNNNNNNNNNNNNNNNNNNNNNNNNNNNNNNNNNNNNNNNNNNNNNNNNNNNNNNNNNNNNNNNNNNNNNNNNNNNNNNNNNNNNNNNNNNNNNNNNNNNNNNNNNNNNNNNNNNNNNNNNNNNNNNNNNNNNNNNNNNNNNNNNNNNNNNNNNNNNNNNNNNNNNNNNNNNNNNNNNNNNNNNNNNNNNNNNNNNNNNNNNNNNNNNNNNNNNNNNNNNNNNNNNNNNNNNNNNNNNNNNNNNNNNNNNNNNNNNNNNNNNNNNNNNNNNNNNNNNNNNNNNNNNNNNNNNNNNNNNNNNNNNNNNNNNNNNNNNNNNNNNNNNNNNNNNNNNNNNNNNNNNNNNNNNNNNNNNNNNNNNNNNNNNNNNNNNNNNNNNNNNNNNNNNNNNNNNNNNNNNNNNNNNNNNNNNNNNNNNNNNNNNNNNNNNNNNNNNNNNNNNNNNNNNNNNNNNNNNNNNNNNNNNNNNNNNNNNNNNNNNNNNNNNNNNNNNNNNNNNNNNNNNNNNNNNNNNNNNNNNNNNNNNNNNNNNNNNNNNNNNNNNNNNNNNNNNNNNNNNNNNNNNNNNNNNNNNNNNNNNNNNNNNNNNNNNNNNNNNNNNNUUGACUCCCCACCAGUCCAGCUGAAUCGACCCAGCUAAAUCGGCCUAGGCCGAAUUAGACUGGAACCAAACCGCUGAACCUGAACUAACAGGACUAGACCAUGCGUUAACCGGACCUUUGACCAAUCACGUUCAAGUAAAAAAAAAAUUUUUUUGAAUUUUUUUAGAUUUUUUAUAUAUUAUUUUUGUUAUUUUGAAUUUUUAUUAUUAAUAUUUAUGCAUGUUAAAAUGUUUAGAUUUACUAGAAUAAAUUUUUUGUUGUUUAUAAUAAUAAUUAAUAUAAAUAAACAAUGAAAUACAUAAUUAAAAUUUUGUGAUAAUUUUUGUUUUUUUAAAUAAAAUAAUAAACUUAAAAAUAAUAACAAAUGCAAAAAAAAAAAAAUUUAUCCGACGAUGAGAUUCAAAGAUACUCUGAGUAGUGAUGCCUACGAAAUCUUUAGGUGAAAAGAUUUUUUUAAAAUACAACCAGUGUAUUAGAGUAUUUUUAAAAGGUUUUCAAUACAAUAAAAAAUUUAAUAAAAAAUAAAAUUAACUAAUAAAUUAAAUAAAGGUGAUAAAAUAUGAGGAAAAAAAAUUUUAUCGAUGACGGGAUUGUAAGAGUAUUUUGAGUAGAGAUACUUUAAGAAAUCUCUAGGUGAGAAGAUUUUUUUAAUAUUACUAGUGUAUUAAAAUAUUUAUAAAAAUCUUCAAUAUAAUAAAAAUUUUCUUUUCUUCAAAAUUUAAAUAACUAAUAAAAAGAUAAUAAAAAUCAAUACUAAAAUGUGUGCAUCAACAUAUUAGUAUUUUUUGCAUUGCAUGCAUAACAUGGUUUUUACAAAAAUAAAUUCGAAUAUCCGAAGAUAAGAUUCUAAGGAUAUUUGAGAAGCGAUGCUUAAAAAAUCUUUAAAUGAGAAAAAGUUCUUCUAAUGUUACCAAUGUAUUGAGAACAUUUUAAGAAUUAUUUCAAUAAAAAUGUUCUAAUUUAUUUUUCUCGAAUAAAAAAAUGAAACAUUAAAAAAAAUUAAAUAAAUUAAAAAUCAAUUUCUAAUAAAUAAAAAAUCAAAAAAAUAUUUCGAAUAUUUGAAAAUAAGAUAUCUUUUAUCAAAUCAAUAAUAACAUAUAAUUAAUCGGUACCGUUUAAAAUGGAUGUUGUGAAUGUAGCUAACUCUUUCUCCACACGGUAAUCGACUUCUCGAACUCAGACUGUUGUGUAACUCUAAAAUUAUCCUUUUAAUAAUUUUAAUUAAUUUUAAAAUUUUAUUAAAAAGAUAUAUUUUAAUGGAUGAUCAAUCGUAUCUAAUUAAAAAAGAUUGAUGAUAAUUUUAUUUUAUUUAUUUUAUUUUUAAAUUUAUCAAUGAACACAAAAUUAUUAUGACAGUUCUCUUUAAUUCUAUCAUGCUCUUUUUUAUCUCAAGAGAUUAAAAUUUUAAGAUACAUAUAUAGUAAUACUUAUUCAAUUUGUAACUUUGUUUAUUAUAUUAGAUCAAUUCUCCGUAUAGUAUUCCAAUCUUAUGUAAUCUUUUCGAGUCUUCUUAGAAUCAAAUUAUUAAGUUAGAAAAGUGAAAAACUUAAUGUGAGGGCCUGAAAGGUCAGAUCAAGCUGGUCUAUUGUGGUCAAAAUCAAAUUAUUGAAGCUGAGAUAAGCAGUGGCGUGGAAAGGUCAGAUCAAACUGGUCUAUCGUGGUCAAUAAUCAAAUUAUUGAAGCUGAGAUAAGCAAUGGCUUGCUACAAUUACAAGAUUAAUAAUCGAUAUUUGAGAUCGAAUUUAAUUCAAAAUUUAAGAUUUAAAAUUUAAUACGAAUUUGAUUAAAUUUUAUUUUUUAAUUUAAAUUUAAUUUGAAAUAAAAAUUAAAUUAUUUAAAUUUAUUUAAUAAAUAAAAAUAAAUUUAAUUAUUUAUACUUCAAUUUAAAAUACUUUAUUAAUUAUAAUAUAUUAAAUUAUAAAAUCUGAAUUAAACUCAUAAAUUAUUUGAAUUAAAUAUAAAAUUAUUUUAAUUUAAUUUAAUUAAUAAAUAAAUUAUUCAAAUUUAAAUUUAAUUUAAUAAUAAUUAAAUAAAAUUUAAAUUUUAUUUUAAUCAAAUUUAAAUAAUUUAUAAAUAUUAACGUAUCAUUCGUAUCUCUAACAGCAACUGCCGAAGAGCAAAUAAUUUUUUCCAAAGUGAACUUUCAAGACAAGUGGAAUAAUUAAUAGCAUUCCUACACGACAAAUAGAUAGAUCAUCACUCCCUGUCCCACCAUCAGAUUAAGAUAGGGACAGCAAUAUUGAGAUUGAUUGAGAGAGAAAUUGCAAGUAACUAGGUUUGCGCUCCGCUGCACAAUGCAGCUUGCGUGAUAAUUUUUUUUAUUUAAAUAUUUUUAAUUUUAAGAUGUUUAUGUUUUAUUUUGAUUUCAUUCUUCAACAUACCGUUUGUUCUUUUAAAGUCAAUUUUUUUCACUUCUCUUUUUCUUUUCUCCCUUUAAAAUUGAAGCUUCUCUAUCUAGGCGAUUUUUAAUUAUUGGAAACUGUGGUGUCAACUCCCGUCCACCGUCCGCAUCGGAGCCCUUUCAACCUAAAAUUUCAUCACAGAUUCUCCUCAAUUUCCUCACUAUUCCAAGCACUGAUUUUUCAAAAUUAGUCCUUAAAAAUGUAGAUUUACAACCCAAGUCACGGCCUAAAAAUCUCCUGUAACACUUACACUCGCCACUCCAAAAAGCCCCAUCUCUUACUAUUUUGUCCUUAUUCCUUGGCUUCCAAGGUAAUGAUGCUAGUUGUUGUAUUAUUAUUAUUUUUUAUGUUAUGUUAUUUUAUUUUAUUUUUUGUUAAGUGGUAGAUUUUGAUUUUUUUUGGUUAGUGGUUGAGUUUUGGAUUAAUUGUUAGCUGAGUGUACAUACAUCGUUGGUGGAAGUUAAUGGUGGUGUGGGUAUGGAAGAUUUAGAUUUCAUAUUAAAAAUUUUGCACAUAUAUAUUUGAUCUACAAAGAAAAUUUGAAGAUUUAUUUUUUAUUUUUUUCUUACAUUUUAAAUUUUUUAGUAAUUAUAUUUUAGGGUAUUUUAUUUUAAUUAAAAAGGUAUAAUAUUUUUUUUAUUUAUUGAAAAAAGUGUCAAAUGAGUUAGUUUUAAUAUAUAAUAUAAAUUUUUGAAUGUUCAAAUUAUUCAAAAGUAAUUGAGAUUUGAACUUUAACAAUAUUUAUAUUUUAUAAAAUUAUCUAAAAAAUUCUUGUAAUCCUUUCUAAAAGAUGAUUUUCGACAAAUUUAAAGUUUAUAAUUUAGCAUAUGCAUUUUUUUUCAUUCAUAUUACUUUUAGAUUGCGAUCUCAUUUAUAUAAAAAAAUUAAUUUUAUUAUAAAAAAUAAAAUUAUGUAAAAUUUGAAGUAAAAUUAUUUCCAUCCGAAUCUUAUAUAACAAUUUCAUUUUUUAUUAUUUAAUAUUUAUAAUAUCUAAAUUUAUUUAAAUAUCUAUUUAAAUUUAGUAUCACUAACUAAAUUUAAAUCUAUUUAAAUAAAUAUUAUUCAUUUAAAUAUUUGAAUAUGUUAAAAUAUUUAUUUAUUUAAAUUUUUUAUCAAGGUAUAAAAUAAACAAGAAUUAAAAUUAAAAUUAAAAUUCACUCUUAACUAAUAACGAGUAAAAGUUAUUUAUUAAGGUUGAAAACUUUCAUAAAUAUAAAAUUUUAUAUAUUUUACAUACGAAAAUGAAUAAUGGAUUCAAAUAUCUAUUAUUAUUUAUUAAAAUCUAAAUUGAUUCAGAUAUUGAAUACUUAGAUAAAUUAUUUAUAUACUAUCCGAAUUUGUCAUGGAUAAUAAAUUUUCUAUCCGAAUUCAUUAAUUAUUUAUUUUCAAUUAUCCAAAUCUAACAUAAACUAAUUGCGUAAUAACAGAUUUAUUUAGUAUUUAUUACAAACUCCAUUUUCCAGACAUUUUUAAUAAGUGUCUAUAUGCUGGCACGUCACUUUUCCUUCCUUUGCCUAUAAAUUAAAGAGUAAUGACAAACUUAUUACCUGUACUAAAUGCGAGGGAACUCAUAGUAUUGAGCACAUACAUUCUAUAAAGCAAACAAGGAUGGAAGGCCGAGGUCUAAGAGGAGGAUGCACCGCCCAAGCUCCUCUUCACACGUUUGAACCCCUGCAGCGGACGGCCUUGAACCGCGUAUUUGCGGUGGUUUACUCGUGUGCAAUUAUUGCUCUACUCUAUCGCCAUACGCAGAUACUUCUCUACUCCACAACCUUACUCUCUUUCUCUAUGACACUGUCUUUGCUCAUCUCAGAUCUUGUCCUUGCCUUCAUGUGGGCGUGCGGACAAGCUUUUCGAAUGCGCCCAAUUCGUCGUAAAGAGUUCGCUGAAAACCUCAAAGGAAUCAUGAAAGAAGAAGAUUUUCCAGGGCUGGACGUGUUCAUAUGCACGGCUGAUCCUCACAAGGAGCCACCAAUGAAUGUGGUGAACACAGCCCUCUCGUUGAUGGCUUAUGAUUAUCCAAAAGAGAAGCUUUCCGUCUAUGUAUCAGAUGAUGGAGGGUCAGCUUUGACUCUCUUUGCUUUCAUGGAGGCUGCUAAGUUUGCAUGUCAUUGGUUACCAUUUUGCAGGGAGCACAAUAUAAUGGAUAGGAGCCCUCGAGUAUAUUUUGCGUCUAAUUAUCAUUCUUGGAGCCCAGAGAUUGAGGAGAUUAAGGUAAUUAACACACUCAAACACUUGCUAAUUCUAUCUCAAAAACUUUAAUUGACUGACUUUCCAUGCCUAAUUUUUGUACAAAAUUAUAUUGAUAAAGUAAUUUAAUUUUGGGUGUUCACUAUUACUUAUGUCUAACAAUAACAGUAGAUAUGCCAGUAAGUUUUCAUAUACAAUGGUAGAUCUAGAUUUUUUUUUUUUUGUGUGUCCACUCUUUACGGUGAGUGUUUGUUGAAUGUUGGAUAUUGGUUGGCUGUGAGCUAUAAUUGAGUAUUGAGUAGUAACAGUAAAUAGAAUGGUUAAAGGAUUUAAAAAAGAUAUAUUAUAAUUUUAAGAGUAUUAAAAAAAGUUUUCAAUUCUUUUUUAAUUUUUAAAACUUUGUGAAUCUCCAUAAACACUUUUAAUUUUAUAUUUGCAACUACCGCUAUUUUCGUAUAUCCAAAUUAAAUUCCUGCAUGGACAAAAAAAAAAAGGUAAAGUUGAUUUUUAAAUCAAAUCUAAUUUUAUAAUCAUCAUGAUCAUAAUUAAUGCAUCAUUAAUCUCAAAAGUGCUAAAUAUAGUCCACAAUAAAUAUUGAAAGAAAGAAAUUAAAGAAUAUAUAAUAAUAAAGGGGUACAUGGAAUGUACGUACCAUAAAUAUUGAGAAAAGGAAAUUAAAGAAAUAUAUAAUUAAGGGUGGAUGGAAUCUAGGAGCUGACUCGUGAGAUAAACUAGAAGAUUAUAUAUACUAGGAAGCCAAUGGUCGGUCCUAAUCUAAAUAAUUAAAUUACAUUUAAAACAAAUUAAACUCCCUCAGUUUCAUUUUGUUUGGGUGAUUGAUUUUCGUGAAAUUAAAAAAAAAAAAAAAAAGAGUUUGAUUUUAGACUAUUUAAAUUAAAAUUAAAAUUAUAAAAUCAAAUUUUUAUGAUUUUAAAUGUCAAAAAAGCUAAAAAAAAUAUAAAAAGUAAAAGUUUAGAUAUUCAAAAAAGAAAAGAAAUUAUAAUUUUGAGACAUCUAAAAAAGAUGAAUAAAGAAAAUGAAACGGAAGAAAAAUGUGAUAUUGAUUAAUAUGAGCUUAUAUAAAAUAAUGUAACUGAUUAUAAUUUAUAUAUUAAAAAUUAAUGAUGAAAUUACUAGUAUUCAUCAUUAUGUAUAUAAAAAAAAAAAAUCAAAGAUGAAGUUAAGUUAUAGCAAUUUAUUAACAGAUAAAUAUAUUAAACUCUUAAUUUGAAUAUAAUUGAGAGAUUAAAAAAGAUCAUGUCUUAACCUAUGUUUCUAGGCAUUAUUAAGUAAGCAUUCUUAGACAAUUUAUAUGUUCAGUUAACUUAAGAAAAAUAAGAAAAACUAUAUUAGCAGUUAAAUUAAAUAUUUAUUUUUGAUAAAGAGAAGGCAAUUAAAAAUAAAAAAAGUUACAUAUAUCAAAAUAUAAAUUUGAAAUUUAUUAAAUGUUAAUUUUUAAAGGUUUAUGUAUGAAUCAAUUUUUUAAUCUCGAAGUUCAAACCAAUCAAAUAUUUGUGUUAAUUUUAUAUGUAUAUACAUUUUGUUUCUGUAAAAGUUGAGUUUUAAUUUUUUUUUUUCAAAAAAAAAAAUGUUGCAUCUUACAGCUUUUCUCUGACAUGUUUGAACAUUGGACCACAUAUGAAAUAAUUUUCGAUGUGUCAGUCAAUUAAUUAGGGCAGAUUCAGACAAAGAACCCCAACAACCGAUUUUGUCAUUUAGGCCGCAUCAUUUUGUGUUUGUCAAACCUUCAAAUUAAAGAUUAGGAUUAGUACUAAUCCAUAUGUCUAAAUCAUGUCUAGACUGUUGACUUGUGCAUGGAUCCAAACGACUUAUUUCAACUAUACAAAUAUAUAAUAUAUUACUUUUCUUUAUUUGGGGGGUAAUAUAUAUAUAUAUAUAUUAUUUUCAUGCACCUAAAUGUAUCAAAUGUAAAUAGAUGCUUAUAAGAUAUAAUUUGGAAAGUUUUUUUAUUAUUAGUAAUUUAGUUUAUCUUAUGCUUUUCUCGAAGAAAAGAACCUCUAUAGCUUGCUUGUGCUGGCACUGCCAUGUAUCAAGUCCUAGCUAGAUUUAGCUGGACAAAAUUUAUAUGAAAUUUGUUUAAAUAAAUUUAUAAAUUUUUUUAAGUGAUUUAAUAAAAAUUUUAAUAAAAAAUUUAGAUGGAUAGAAUUUAAUGUGAAAAAUAAUAAUAUAUUAAAAUAUUAUUUAUACUUCAAAUUUAAUUGAUACUUAUUUUAUGGUAAAAAUUUUAUCAAUAUUUUUAUUAAAAUAUCUAUUUAAAAUAUAUAUAAAAAAUAUUUAAAAAUUUUAAAUUACAUAUUUAAUUUAUACAACAAGAUUAUUCAAUUUAUCAAUUUUAAUUUUAAUUUAAUAAGUUUUAAUAAUAAACUUCAAGAAUUUUAUCUAAAAAAUUUUAUUUAAAUAUUUCUUUAUGUUGAUCCAUUUAUUGUUUUGGCUUUGCUCAUGGCUAGUUUAGUUUUUGCGAUUUCGCUGCAAGUUCCUUUUUUUUUUUGCCACUAAGUCCCUGGGUAGUUUUUUUUUGGCCAAUUAAGUCCCUUGUAGUUGAAUAAGGCUUUUUAUAUUUUCUCCUUUUUAUUUCAAAAGGAAAAUUAAAUUAAAAUUAAAAUAUUUAGACACUUUAAAGGAUAUGUUUGAUAAAUAGAAUGAUGAAGCCCAUAAAAUGAUUAUCUCAUUAUCUUAUUGUUGAUUGCACACAUAAAAAAUUAAAUUCUCUUUUCCAAAUCAUCAAAAAUAAUUGGCUGAUUAUAUCGCGAUUAAUAUAAAUAAUGAUUAUUUUUUUGCAUCUUGUAUCUAUUUCGAUCACAAAACCUCUAUGCGAUGUGUUUAAAAUAUUUAGAUUUUUUUAAGAGUCAAAGCCUGCAAUAUAUAUGAUUGUAAUAAUUAGAUUUUGAUUUAAUUUAAAUACGAUAUUUAAUUUAAUAUAAAAAAAUACAAAACAUAUAUGCAUUUAAGAUUUUUAAUAAUAAUUAUAUUUAAGAUUUAAUAAAAUCAAAAAUAUAUUUUAUAUUUUUAUAACAAUACAAAUCUAUGGCAUAUAAUUUUAUAUAAAAUAUAAUAUAAAUACAUAAAUUUUUAUAAUUAAAUCUACAUAAUUAAAAAAAAGCUAAAAUAAUUAUAUUUCAUCACUCAUAUCUUAUCUUGUAGGAAUUAGAUUUAAUUCGAUUUUUAAUUUAAAUUUAAUAUAUAAAUAUAUAAUAUUUAAAUUUCAUUUAAACCAAAUAAAAAAAUUAAUUCAAAACAAAUUAAACACUAUAACUUUAAAUUUAUUGAAUUUUUUCCUCGAUUGUCUGUCUUUUCUAGUACCCUUCAAUAGAGCAUCUAUCGUCAUAAUGUCUGACACCACUGAUCAGUGCAAGUGGCCAAGUUUGUUGAAGGAUACUUUCUUUUCUUUUCCCAACUUUAUUGUUCAAACAUUUCCAACUAAAUAAUUUAGGAAGUCAUUAAGAAGAUAUCAAAUUAUAUAUAUAAAUAUAUAUAUAUAUAUAUACACACUAAACAAUAGUAUCAUUUUCAUUCUAAUUUGGAAUUUUUUAAUAUAAAAAAUUCUAUACGCCACUUUAUUACAAAUUAUUACUUAAAUCACCAUGUGAUUAAUGGCACCUGCCCUGAAUAGCUGGUACAAACCUCUUAAAUUUCACCCUUACUGCCCACUUAUACAGAGAAAUUCAGCCUUCGACUGCCCAUUGCCAUCAUCACUACCCACACAAGAAAUGGAGGUUCUAAGUCGGAGAGAGCACUACAUCACCCCCCUGGCACCCAUCGAUACUCCUCUUCACACCGUGGAACGCCUCCCACGCACGGCCGUGAACCGCGUCUUUUUGGUAGUUUACACUUGCGCCAUCCUAGCUCUACUCUACCGCCAUGCACAAACACUUAUCAAUUCCACAACCUUAGUCUCUUUCUUUAUAACCCUCUCUUUGCUUGUCUCUGAUCUCAUUCUUGCCUUCAUGUGGGGAGCUUCACAAGCUUUUCGCAUGUACCCAAUUCAUCGUAAGCAAUUCCCAGAGAACCUGAAAAAGAACGUGACGGAGCAAGAUUUUCCAGCGUUGGACGUGUUCAUAUGCACGGCUGACCCUUACAAGGAGCCGCCAAUGAGUGUGGUGAACACGGCUUUGUCCUUGAUGGCUUAUGAUUAUCCAACGGAGAAGAUUUCGGUGUAUGUAUCGGACGAUGGAGGAU
rnacentral:lncRNA from 1 species